GUUACAGUCGGGGGCAUUCGUAUUUCAUAGUCAGAGGUGAAAUUCUUGGAUUUAUGAAAGACGAACAACUGCGAAAGCAUUUGCCAAGGAUGUUUUCAUUAAUCAAGAACGAAAGUUGGGGGCUCGAAGACGAUCAGAUACCGUCCUUGAUAGACUCCUUGCCGUGGAUCUAUGCUCCAAGGACCACUUUGAUGGUUUUGAAAUGGAUGUGGCGAGAUUGAUGGUGAAUGAUGGAUAGAUGUUGAACAAAACAGCGGAAUGACGAUGAAUGAGGGUGAUGACGAGAUAGAGUGGAUGCNNNNNNNNNNNNNNNNNNNNNNNNNNNNNNNNNNNNNNNNNNNNNNNNNNNNNNNNNNNNNNNNNNNNNNNNNNNNNNNNNNNNNNNNNNNNNNNNNNNNUCCAAGAGGGAUGAGAAACUCUUAGACUACAAGCUUGGAUCCAACUUAGAUAUUACACACUAAGAAGAAAACAAGUUGAAAAGAUAUUACACACUUUUCGGAUCAAACAAGUAAAGAGAGAGUUUUAGAAUAAAAUGUUUGAUGUUUUGCAAAUGAGAGAUACAUGGAGUUUAUAUAGAGAAGGGAGGACGAAGGAGAGGAGAGAAGACAAGAGAAAACAUGCAAGAGCAUGCACAAGUGUCUUGUAAAUUACACUCAUGCAAGCUCAUACAAGAGUCUUGGAAAUAACAACAAGUAAUAAAUGCAAAGUUUGAAGAGAAAAGGGAAAAUGGGCCAAGGCUUUGUGAGUGGGCCUUGGACCACGAAUUGGAUUGAUAAAGGGGCUUGAAAAUGUUACUUAAGCCUCAUUAAAAACCUUGUCAAGAAAACCCAUUGGGACAAAACUUGACAAGGGAAAAAGAGUGCAUAAGCAACACUUAACCCUUUACCGAUCCUCUUGAGCCGUGAUCACUAUGAGUGAGGAUUGAACGACGUCUUCUUGAUUCUUGUUUAACUCCUUAAGUAAUCCAUUGAUGGCUUGGUUGAAAUUCUUGGCUCUUGAUCUUGUUAGAGGACCCGCUGGGACGAUCAAUGCUUCCUCCGGUACAAGCUGUUCUUCGUGUGGUUCAAGUGGGUUGGCCAUGAUCUCAUCAUCCUCUCCCACUUGAAAAGGAUUUGACCUCAAAUCCGAAUUAUCUGCAAAAUAAGGUUGAAGGUCAGAAACAUUGAAGCUACCAUUCACAUUAUACUUACCUUGUAGAUCGAGUUUGUAGGCGUUGUUGUUGAUCCGUUUAAGCACUUUGAACGGUCCAUCGAUUCUUGGCAUUAGCUUAGAUGAUCUUUCUUCCGGGAAACGUUCCUUCCUAAGAUGAACCCACACUUGAUCGCCUUCGUUGAAGAUGACUUCUUUUCGGCCUUUGUUCGCAUACUUCUCGUAAAGCUUCGUCCGGGCUUCAAGAUUUUCCUUAGUCUUCUUGUGAACCUGUUGCACUAAAUCGGCUUUCUUCUUGCCAUCGAGACUUGAUCUUACACUCAAAGGUAAAGGCAUUAGAUCCAAAGGAGAUGUGGGAUUGAACCCAUAAACAAUUUCAAAAGGAGAAAACUUAGUCGCGGAAUGCAUCGAAUGAUUAUAAGCAAAUUCAACAUGCGGCAAGCAAUCUUCCCAAGUUUUAAGGUUCUUUUUAAUGAGCACACGUAACAAAGUCGACAAGGUUCGAUUAACAACUUCAGUUUGACCAUCGGUUUGCGGAUGACAUGUAGUAGAGAAAAGCAAUUUAGUCCCUAACUUCGACCACAAAGUUUUCCAAAAAUAACUAAGGAACUUAGUAUCACGAUCAGAAACUAUGGUCUUAGGAAUGCCAUGCAAACGAACAACUUCUCUAAAGAACAAGCUAGCAACAUGAGAUGCAUCAUCGGUUUUAUGACAUGGAAUAAAAUGCGCCAUUUUAGAGAAGCGAUCAACAACCACAAAGAUAGAAUCCUUACCGGCCCUAGUCCUAGGCAAUCCUACCACAAAAUCCAUAGAUAUAUCAUUCCAAGGAUGCAAAGGAAUAGGUAAAGGGGUAUACAAACCGUGGGGUUGAACCUUAGCCUUAGCUUGCUUACAAGUCGCGCAACGUUCACAUAGUCGCUCGACAUCUCUUCUCAUGUGUGGCCAAUGGAAGUGUUCUUGCAUUACCUUGUACGUCUUAGAAACUCCAAAGUGUCUCAUUAAACCACCUCCAUGAGUUUCCCNNNNNNNNNNNNNNNNNNNNNNNNNNNNNNNNNNNNNNNNNNNNNNNNNNNNNNNNNNNNNNNNNNNNNNNNNNNNNNNNNNNNNNNNNNNNNNNNNNNNNNNNNNNNNNNNNNNNNNNNNNNNNNNNNNNNNNNNNNNNNNNNNNNNNNNNNNNNNNNNNNNNNNNNNNNNNNNNNNNNNNNNNNNNNNNNNNNNNNNNNNNNNNNNNNNNNNNNNNNNNNNNNNNNNNNNNNNNNNNNNNNNNNNNNNNNNNNNNNNNNNNNNNNNNNNNNNNNNNNNNNNNNNNNNNNNNNNNNNNNNNNNNNNNNNNNNNNNNNNNNNNNNNNNNNNNNNNNNNNNNNNNNNNNNNNNNNNNNNNNNNNNNNNNNNNNNNNNNNNNNNNNNNNNNNNNNNNNNNNNNNNNNNNNNNNNNNNNNNNNNNNNNNNNNNNNNNNNNNNNNNNNNNNNNNNNNNNNNNNNNNNNNNNNNNNNNNNNNNNNNNNNNNNNNNNNNNNNNNNNNNNNNNNNNNNNNNNNNNNNNNNNNNNNNNNNNNNNNNNNNNNNNNNNNNNNNNNNNNNNNNNNNNNNNNNNNNNNNNNNNNNNNNNNNNNNNNNNNNNNNNNNNNNNNNNNNNNNNNNNNNNNNNNNNNNNNNNNNNNNNNNNNNNNNNNNNNNNNNNNNNNNNNNNNNNNNNNNNNNNNNNNNNNNNNNNNNNNNNNNNNNGACAAAUCGUCGGUAAAAUCCCGCUAAACCGUGAAAGCUCCUUACUUCGCUCACAUUCUUAGGGCUCGGCCAUUCUCGAAUCGCCUUGACCUUUUCUUCAUCGACCUUGAUUCCAUAUGCACUUACAACAAAGCCUAGGAAAACAAGAUUAUCCGUGCAAAAGGUGCACUUCUUCAAGUUCGCAUAUAGCUUUUCCUUUCGAAGCAAAUCUAAAACAAGUUUAAGAUGCAUGACAUGAUCUUCCAAGUUUUUGCUAUAAACCAAGAUGUCAUCAAAAUAAACAACAACAAAUACUCCAAUAUGCUUCCUAAGGACAUGAUUCAUCAAUCUCAUGAAAGUGCUAGGUGCAUUUGUUAACCCAAACGGCAUAACUAACCAUUCAUACAAUCCUUGUUUCGUUUUAAAAGCCGUUUUCCAUUCAUCACCUUCCUUCAUCCGGAUUUGAUGAUAACCACUUUUAAGAUCAAUUUUUGAAAAGAUGCUAGAACCAUGCAAUUCAUCAAGCAUAUCAUCUAAUCAAGGAAUAGGGUGGCGAUACUUAACCGUGAUAUUAUUGAUGGCUCGGCAAUCCACGCACAUGCGCCAACUUCCAUCUUUCUUUGGUACAAGUAAAACCGGAACGGCACAUGGACUCAUGGUUUCACGAAUAUUACCCUUGUCCAUAAGCUCGUUCACUUGUUUCUCGAGUUCUUUUGUCUCGGUCNNNNNNNNNNNNNNNNNNNNNNNNNNNNNNNNNNNNNNNNNNNNNNNNNNNNNNNNNNNNNNNNNNNNNNNNNNNNNNNNNNNNNNNNNNNNNNNNNNNNNNNNNNNNNNNNNNNNNNNNNNNNNNNNNNNNNNNNNNNNNNNNUUACUCGGUAGCACCGGUUCGGGAUUAGUUGAACAAGUAAGAGUUUCUUUGAAAACAAAGAGUAAACUAUUUUUGUGAUUUACCUUGUUCUUACCCUUGGUAUCGUUUGGUUCGGUUGAUUUGAUGGCUCGUUGUUUCAUACUUAGCUGGUCUAAAUAGACUUCAUGCGGAGUCAUCGGGAUGAGAGUUGUCUUUCGGCCAUUGUGUUCGAAGGUCUGCCGGUUGGUGAAGCCAUCGUGAAGAACUCUUCGAUCCGAUUGCCAUGGUCGUCCGAGAAGAAUGUGACUAGCGUCCAUCGNNNNNNNNNNNNNNNNNNNNNNNNNNNNNNNNNNNNNNNNNNNNNNNNNNNNNNNNNNNNNNNNNNNNNNNNNNNNNNNNNNNNNNNNNNNNNNNNNNNNAAUGUCACACAUGAUCUCAUCUUGAUACUUCCCAAUUGAAAGAGGUACCUUGACUUGUUCUUUGACGGACAUCUCACCCGUGUCAUUGAGCCAUUGGAGUGAAUACGGUCUCGGGUGUUCAAGCACUUCUAAGCCAAGCUUCUCGACCAUACUCCUGCUCGCAACGUUAGUACAACUUCCACCAUCGAUAAUCAAACUACAUACCUUAUCUUUGACGAGGCAACGUGUAUGAAACAAAUUUUCCCUUUGCGCUUGUUCCUCGGCUUUAGUUAGAACACUCAACGAUCUUCUCGCAACAAGCAACUCUCCUUUAGUAGGGGCUUCCAUAUCUUCUUCUAUUGAGCCUUCUUCCGAACGAUCAUCUUCGGAUUCUACUUCGCCAUUCUCUCUAAGAACCAUGAUCCUUUUGUUGGAACAUUCGCUCGCGUAAUGCCCAAGUCCUUGACACUUAAAGCAUCGGAUAUCUCUAGCCCUCGUGAUUACUUCCUUACCCUUUGCUUUUGGAUCUAGAUCGACCUUUGGCUUGACGAACGGCUUGUAAUCCUUUUGAUAACCGAACUUCUCUUCCUUUUGAUAACUUGGCUUUCCCGUGCUGUAGCUGGUCUUGGUGUGACUUGAUCGGGCGUUCCUUCUCUUGAUUUGCUGCUCGAACAUAACCGCUUUGUGAAGCAUCUCCUCAAGCUCCACAUAAUGUUGAGUUUCUAGACGAUCUUGGAUUUCUCGGUUAAGACCUCCCAUGAAUCGAGACAUGACCGCUUCUCCAUCUUCUUGAAGAUCGGCUCUUAACAUAAGGGUUUCCAUUUCCUUAAAGUACUCCUCGACGGUCUUGCUUCCUUGAACCAAAUUCCUCAACCGCUGAUGUAGUUCUCGAUGAUAGUAACUUGGCACAAAUCUUUUUCGCAUGACGGCUUUAAGCUGGUUCCAUGUGUCGAUCGGAUAGUCUCUGGCACGUCUUCGGCUAGUGACAAGUUGAUCCCACCAACUUAGGGCAUAGUCGUAGAAUUCAGUAGCCGCAAUUUUAACCUUAUUGCACUCAAGACUUUCUUGACAAAGAAAGACCAACUCAAUUUUCUGCUCCCAUUCCAAAUAAGUAUCCGGGUUGUUGGUUCCAUGGAAUGCGGGAAUUUUGAGCUUUAGACCACCCAAAGGAUCUCUAGGUGGUGCUCUCUCUCGGCGACGCCUACGUUGGCUGCUGUGGGAAGAGGCGUGACUAUAGUAACUCCUUGCCUCAUCAUUUUGCCUUGGUUCUUCAUGCCGUGGUUCUUCUUUCCUUUGACGUUGAUUUGGUUCCGGGUUGACUUGAUGCAAGUGUAGAGCACCAAUCUUUUCCUCAAUCAUCGUUGCCAUGGCGGUGGUGACUGAUUCCAAAAUCCUCUUCUCAAGACUAGAUGUGGAUGACUCUUCUUCUUCUUCGCUUGUCACCAUUGUACCUGAAAAAUCAAAACUUUAACAAGUAAACAGUCCAAUAACAGACAAAUUUAAACGGAUCUGGAAAAAUAGUAAAUUGACUCUAAAAAUUCUGAAAUUAAUUUUAGAAAACAAUAGACUCUUCACUGGUUCUAACGCAAUAGGUUUCACAAUUUUUGAACAAGCCAAUUAUUUUAUAAAAUUCACGCAAUAUUGAAACAAAAUCAGAAAAACGGAAAUUUCGGGAUGGAACUUCAAAACCUGGUUACAAAGUGGCUCUGAUACCACAUGAUAGACUCCUUGCCGUGGAUCUAUGCUCCAAGGACCACUUUGAUGGUUUUGAAAAGGAUGUGGCGAGAUUGAUGGUGAACGAUGGAUAGAUCUUGAACAAAACAGCGGAAUGACGAUGAAUGAGGGUGAUGACGAGAUAGAGUGGACGCAGCGGAAAGAAGGGGAGAAUGAGGUGUACUUCCAAGAGGGAUGAGAAACUCUUAGACUACAAGCUUGGAUCCAACUUAGAUAUUACACACUAAGAAGAAAACAAGUUGAAAAGAUAUUACACACUUUUCGGAUCAAACAAGUAAAGAGAGAGUUUUAGAAUAAAAUGUUUGAUGUUUUGCAAAUGAGAGAUACAUGGAGUUUAUAUAGAGAAAGGAGGACGAAGGAGAGGAGAGAAGACAAGAGAAAACAUGCAAGAGCAUGCACAAGUGUCUUGUAAAUUACACUCAUGCAAGCUCAUAUAAGAGUCUUGGAAAUAACAACAAGUAAUAAAUGCAAAGUUUGAAGAGAAAAGGGAAAAUGGGCCAAGGCUUUGUGAGUGGGCCUUGGACCACGAAUUGGAUUGAUAAAGGGGCUUGAAAAUGUUACUUAAGCCUCAUUAAAAACCUUGUCAAGAAAACCCAUUGGGACAAAACUUGACAAGGGAAAAAGAGUGCAUAAGCAACACUUAACCCUUUACCGAUCCUCUUGAGCCGUGAUCACUAUGAGUGAGGAUUGAACGACGUCUUCUUGAUUCUUGUUUAACUCCUUAAGUAAUCCAUUGAUGGCUUGGUUGAAAUUCUUGGCUCUUGAUCUUGUUAGAGGACCCGCUGGGACGAUCAAUGCUUCCUCCGGUACAAGCUGUUCUUCGUGUGGUUCAAGUGGGUUGGCCAUGAUCUCAUCAGUUGCAUUUUUACAUUUAUUUCGGGCUUAGGGCUAGCUGAAAGACUCUUAUAAAGUCCCCCUGCAGCAGUUGUACGAGUUUUUGACCCUAUUAUCAAUAAAGAAACCAAAUUUUCUUCCUUUUUCUCCUUAAGUGUUCUUAAGAAAAAAGCUUGUUCUUUGUCUUGUGUGUGUGAUUCCACAAGGCUGAGUUCGUGUACUGUAUCAGAGACUAAUCACAUCUCUGUGGUGUACUUCAAUCCGCCAGCACCUCCCCUUCAAUCGAUCCCACACGAGAGAAGCGACCGCCAUCGUGUCAGAGCUACAUCAACGACCAUCUUUCCUUCACAAGAGAGAAGUGACCGCCAUCUUGUGAAGCCAUCCUAUCUAUCCUACUAUGCUCCAAGGACCACUUUGAUGGUUUUGAAAAGGAUGUGGCGAGAUUGAUGGUGAACGAUGGAUAGAUCUUGAACUUCUUUUGAUAGUUUUUAUUUCCAGUUUUGUUUUCUUUUAUUUAAAAAAAAAAAAACAAAAAUUAAGAACCCUAGUUUGCUGUAGCCUUGUUUCUAUAGGAUGUUUAGUUUUAUUUUUCCUUAACAAAAAAAAAAAAAAUUCGUCACUAUUCUUUCCUUAAAUCGUCUGCUUCAGUCUUUGAUUUAGUUUCUGUACUAGUUCAAGGUUUUCGUCAGAAAAAAAAAUUAUUUCUUUUUAAAAUUUUGUUUCAUUAUCUUUGUUAGCUAGUAUUGUUUAAGUAUCUUAAAGUUUAUUUACAUUAAAAAAAAAAAGAGUUUUCAAUUUCUUGUCUAAUUCAGCAUGUGCAUCAGUUUCUUGCUUCUAAAGUUUUCAUUUUCGAUUUUUGUGGUACGUUGAUUUUCUUUGUUGUUUUUGUUUAAGAGCCGGAUACUUUUAGACACUCAUAAUGGGAGAACACGCAGCCAUACCCCAAGAUGCCAUGAUGCAAAUGAUGCAAACCCUAUCGAAACAACUAGAAGGGUUUGGCGAAAGGAUAGGUUGUUUGGAGCAGCCUCAGCACAGAGCUGAAGCUGAACCAGUUCGGGUUCGAAAGGAACGUCCGUGAAGAGGAAGAAGACUCCUUUGACCUGGAUGACGAAGAUGAUCCACCACCUGAUCCAUUAAGGCGUCACCAUCAGCAGAGAGAAGAUCCCUUGAUGAGGAACCGCGCUCGAGAGGUGGACACACGUGACCAGAACCGAGAUGUUAAACUAACCCCUCCUACUUUUGUAGGAAAAUCAAGCGUAAGAUGUCUCUGAGCAAUCGUACCAGAAGUAGUACACCUUGGAAUGCAAGUAACAACCGAGGCAUGGACAAAGACAAAGCUAUAGACAACGAUUCCCGAUUCAAGAAUAAGUCUAGUGAAGCGCCUAAGAUCACCAAGGUAGGGGACACAUGGCGAGAGAAUGUCCGAACCAACGAGUGAUGAUUCUCACUUGUUGGAUAAAGGGUACAUCAGAGAGAGCCUUAGCCCGUGUGAUGUACCAGUUCUCUUGGUACCAAAGAAGGAUGGCACAUGGAGGAUGUGUGUAGACUGCCGAGCAAUCAACAACAUCACCAUCAUAUACCGACAUCCUAUUCCGAGGCUAGACGACAUGUUGGACGAGCUAAGUGGUGCAAUCAUCUUCUCCAAAUUUAACUUACGAAACGGCUAUCACCAAGUCCGAAUGAGAGAAGGCGACGAGUGGAAGACCGUAUUCAAGACCAAGCAAGGUCUCUAUGAAUGGCUCGUUAUGCCAUUCGGGCUAAACAAUGCACCAAGCACCUUCAUGCGAUUGAUGAACCAGGUUCUAAGGUCAUUUAUUGGUAAAAUUUUUUGUUGUCUACUUUGAUGACAUACUUAUUUACAGUAAAUGCUAUUCUGAUCAUACUAAGCACUUAGAGUUAAUUCUGAAAACCCUUCGGAAGGAAGGCCUUUAUGCUAACCUAAAGAAGUGCUCAUUUUGUACUGACAAGUGUGUGUUCCUAGGUUUUGUAGUGAGUAAAAAUGGCCUACAAGUAGAUGAAGAAAAGAUCAAGGCGAUCCACGAAUGGCAUACUCCAGCAUCUAUUGGAUAUGUUCGCAGUUUUCAUGGACUAGCAAGCUUCUACAAGAGGUUUGUCAGAGACUUCAGCGCAGUGGCUGCACCAAUGACUACUGUAAUCAAGAAAAAUGUACCAUUCUCAUGAGGAGAAGCCCAAUAACAGUCAUUCAACACGCUAAAACAGAGGCUCACACAAGCACCAGUUUUAGCACUUCCAGAUUUUGAAGUUAUGUUUGAAGUGGAGUGUGAUGCAUCAGGUUUGGGAAUUGGAGCUGUACUACAUCAGAGGAAAAGACCAGUCGCGUUUUCAGUGAAAAGUUAAGAGGAGCAGCAUUGAACUACUCGACCUACGACAAAGAUCUUUAUGCCUUAGUACAAGCACUUGAGACAUGGCAACACAACUUGUUGUCCAAGGAAUUCAUCAUUCACACCGACCAUGAAACUCUGAAGCAUAUCAAGGGUCAGACUUUGCUCAAGAGGAGACAUGCAAAGUGGUUGGAGUUCAUCGAGACGUUCCCAUAUGUGAUCAAGUACAAGAAGGGAAAGGAGAACGUGGUAGCUGAUGCUUUGUCGAGGAGACAUGCCCUUAUAGCUACAAUGGAGGCUAAAGUAAUGGGUUUUGAGCACAUCAAGGAGUUGUACAAGGAUGAUCCAGAAUUAGGAGAGUGCUACAAAGAGCUUGGCAAAGGAGCUUAUCAAGCAUUCUACUUGCAAGAUGGGUUCUUGUUCAAAGACACGCGGUUGUGCAUCCCUCAAGGUUCAAUGCGAGAGUUGAUACUCACUGAAGCACAUUGUGGAGGGUUGAUGGGUCACUUUGGUGUUGAAAAAACCUUGGCAAUGGUCAUGGAUCAUUUCUUUUGGCCCCAUCUCAAGAAGGACGUGGAGAGAUUUUGUUCUCGAUGCAUUGUUUGCCAGAAGGCAAAAUCCAUGUUACAUCCUCAUGGUCUAUAUUUACCAUUACCUAUUCCUAAUGCCCCUUGGGUAAAUAUUUCUAUAGAAUUUGUCUUAGGAUUGCCUAAGAUUAGACACAAGGAUUCAAUCUUUGUCGUCUUGGACCGGUUCUCCAAGAUGGCACACUUCAUCCCAUGUGACAAGACCAAUGACGCAACUCAAACCGCGGAUUUGUUCUUCAAGGAAGUGGUGCGCCUCCAUGGUAUCCCGAGGACCAUGGUCUCCGAUCGUGACACCAAGUUCUUGAGUCACUUUUGGAAGACACUUUGGAGAAAGUUAGGUAGCAAGCUUCUAUUCUCUACAACUUGUAAUCCUCAAACGGAUGGACAAACCAAAGUGGUAAACCGAACUCUCUCAACUUUACUUAGAGCCACUCUUGGUAGGAAUAUAGCUAGAUGGCUUGAUUGCAUUCCUUAUAUUGAGUUUGCUUAUAAUCGUGCCGUUCACUCGGCUACAAAACUAUCUCCCUUCGAGAUAGUCUAUGGAACUAACCCUUUAUCUCCCAUAGAUUUAGCACCUUUACCUCAGAUCAUAAAGAAGUUGCAUGAAAAAGCAAGAGGCAACUUGGAGAAGAAGGCCGUCGACAACAAACGCAAAGCUAAUCGAGGAAGAAAAGAAGUGUUAUUUGAACCAGGAGAUUGGGUCUGGUUAUAUAUGAGGCCUGAGAGGUUUUCAACACAAAGAGCAUCCAAGCUAUCACCAAGAGGCGACGGUCCUUUCAGGAUCCUCGAGCAACGGAAUAAUAUUUUAGAUGUUAUUUUAAGAAUUUUGCUAAAUGUAUUUAUAAUUUUAAAUUUAUACUUGUCUGCUUAUGAUCCAGGAGAUUCAGUUUUGAGGGCAAAACCUUUUGAAGAGGGAGGGAAUGAUGCGGACAUCGAUUAUCCUGUCCAACCCGCUGAACUAGAUCAAGUACCAGAUCCUGUACCACACCAUGUACCAGUCGUCCCAAUAGGUCCCAUGACUCGUUCAAAGUCUAAACAACUUAGAAAGAGGUUCAACCUAGCUGUACAAGAGAUUGUGAGCUCACUAGAGCUGAACUACGUCAACUGGUCUGUACCACCUUUAAUCCAUCACGAAGGUUAUGAUCCCAUCGCCGAGGAAGAGCUUGCUGAAGCAUUCAUCCAAAUGAGUCUUGAACAUACCAUUUCCCCAGGUAUGAAUUCUCCUUUGACAGGUCAAGAAACCUCUAGAAUCCAAGAGAAGACAAUGGAGUCACAAGAUACGAGCAAAACAAGCUUCACCUUCGAGAGUGAUCGAGAGAGUGAAGAUUAAGAACAAGACAUCAAGGACUUGGAAGAGCUUCAAGAGACUGAUCAAGCUACCCAAGAGAAACUCCAAGAAGCCAUCUACUUCAAGAAACCAACAAACAAACAGGCACCUGACAAGACCCCUGAAGUAGAUCAAGACGUAGUUCAGAGAACAUCGACUGGGCCUAGAUCGCAUCCAGGUAAGUUCUAUUCAAUAUUUUCGAUAAUUGCAGGUCCAUUAAGUCCCAACAACGCCUAGAAGACGUGUUCAUCACGAGAUUUCAAGUUUGCUUUAGUAUUUUACUUAUUUUCUUUCCAAAAACAAUGGCUUUGUAUUUGUAGUUUUAUUUGUUUCCUUUGUUGCUUUUUUACAUUUAUUUCGGCCUUAGGGCUAGCUGAAGGACUCUUAUAAAGUCCCCGUGCAGCAGUUGUACAAGUUUUUGACCCUAUUAUCAAUAAAGAAACCGAAUUUUCUUCCUUUUUCUCCUUAAGUGUUCUUAAGAAAAAAGCUUGUUCUUUGUCUUGUGUGUGUGAUUCCACAAGGCUGAGUUCGUGUAAUAUAUCAGAGACUAAUCACAUCUCUGUGGUGUACUUCAAUCCGCUAGCACCUCACCUUCAAUCGAUCCCACAUGAGAGAAGCGACCGCCAUCGUGUCAGAUCUACAUCAACGACCAUCUUUCCUUCACAAGGGAGAAGCGACCACCAUCUUGUGAAGCCAUCCUAUCUAUCCUAUUACAAGCUCACCACCGAGUCUUGUAUCAUAUUCUAACAAAACAUAUGUUGUAGCAAAUUAUGUAACACCACGACCGUCACCUCUUCAGUGGGUCUCACAUUCACCAAUAGUCCUUGGGCCCACCUCUCUUAAUGGCCUUACGUCCUCUCACUAGGCCCAUGGGCCUAUUAAUAUACGAAGGCCGAUUUGCUACGUCCAUGAGCCUUAAAGUAUUGGUUACCGACCCUACAAAUCACCACAUGAUCUCUCAUGUGAUUUGGCCUUACUCACACAGUUCCACUUUUUGGAAGGUCUCCUAUUCUUUUACUACUCCAGGAUAAGCACGCUUAUUGUGAAGUUCUUUCAGGACCCUUGACCAAAAAGAUAAGUGCAAUUUGGUGACAUAGGUGGCCAAAUUAAUUUAUUUAAACUUCUCCGCACACAGGGGUCUCACACACUAGCUAAACUCUUGAAAGAUUUAAUUUAUUACUCAAACCAAAGAAUUUUGGGUUCUUGGAUCAAAAACAGAGAAUACUAUUUUGACCAUUAUUUUUUAGUAAGACAAAAAUAUUGUUUUAAGACUUUUGCUAAGUUUAUUUCACGAAAAAACUUACAUUGAAAUCAGUAUAUGCAAUUUAAAUUUAAUUCAGUAUAUGCUAUAUAAAUUUGAAUAUUAGCCAAAGCAUUCGUUGUAGCACACUGGCUAAUGUUUUGAAAUAUCUUUUUGAUAUCUCUAACGAUGGAAUUCCGGGUUCGAAGGUCGACAACAAAGAUUACUAUUUUAACUAUUAAUAAUUUUGCUAAAUUUAUUUAUAAUUUUCAAUUUAUACUAAAAUAAGAAUUCCACAAUAAAACUUAAAUAUAAAUCUGUAUGUGCCAUAUAAAAAUAAAUUUUAGCAAAGCAUCCGUUGUACCACACUAGGUAAUGUCUUGAAAUAUCUUAAUUACUACUCAAACCAAACAAAUUUCUGGUUCGAAGUCUGACAACAUUGAAUACUAUUUUCACUAUUAUCUUAAGACUUUUGCUAAGAUUAUUUAUGUAACGCCCGUGUUCUGGAAAAUAAUAGGAGACUAGAUUGUGUAUAAGAAUUAGGGUGGAGUCGGUUUAAUUCCGGUUGAUUUCCUAAAGUGGUCGAUUUGUCAAUUGAAUCAAAGGAGGUUUAAUUAAUGUCGGUUUAGGUAAAUCAUGGUUUAACCAGAUUAAACCAAAAACCCUAACUUUUAUAAGGAGCGCUUCUUCUCUCUUUUGUUUUGUCGCUGUUGUUUCUGAGAGUUGAGUUGAGAAAAGGAGAAGGAGAAGUUUACUUGUGAGAAGGAGAUUGUUAGCUUUGCUUUGGUGUUUAAGGCAAGAGAAGCAGUUUCGUCACGUCCUGGUAGAAUAGAGUUACGACGUAUCAAAUCUUAUCGAAAGGUAAUGAAUUUUGGUAGGUUUGUUCUUAAGGCGUGUACGUUGAUUCUCCUUUUUACAGAAGUGAAUUCGGAUUAAUACUCAGUGAGUUAUAUGCAGUUUGGUGAGACGCGUUUUCUCUGUUGCGAACUGGGAUCAGCAGAGUUUGUAAGUGCGAUCGUGGUUUCAUCGUUUGUCCGAUCGGCAUCAAAUUUAGUACGAAGCUUGGUGACGUCUGGGUCUUGCUUUUCACCAUAGGGAUUAAGACGUUAACGGGCGUUGUUUGGUUUUUGCAGUUGCGAGGAGAGUCUUUCCUGGUUGUAUUUGUUAUUCAAAUCACCUUGUUAAGGUGAGUGCGUGACCAUGAGCUUAUCUAAGCCAUUGGGAUUGAAUGACUUGUUUGUGAUGAUUUGUAGGUGAAAUGGAAGUUUUAUUGGAUGUUUAGCUUGUUGAAUGGUUUGUUUAUGUUAUAUAUGUGGGUGUUAUCUCAUAGCUUGUGUGUAUAGCUCGUAGAUGGGAGGAUCGCUCUCACUGAGUAUUUGUGAUAAUACUCACGCAUCUCAUUGUGUUUGUGGUGCAGGUAAAUUGUGAUCCGUGGAAUCAUAGCGAGGAGAGGAGGAUGAUCUAGGGUCUCGGUUGUUAUGUUUAUGAAUAUGUUAAUUGUUGUUGGAACCUGGUUUAGAGGCAUGCUAGGUUGCUGGUGUAAAUUGUGGUUAUUGAAUGAUUGAUUAAUUAAUAUUAUGAUUAAUUGAUGUUGGUUUAAUAUGUUUCCGCUGUGCAUGAUGAUUUAUUGUUGGGUUAAUUAGUAGGUAUGGGACUAUUAUUUAAUGAAUUAAAAAAAACGGGUCGGGUCUUUUCAAUUUGGUAUCAGAGCCCUUACGGUUCUAGGGCAAGAGUAAAUUGGUUAUUUUUAAUGUGAUGUGUGAAUUUCGUUGAUGGAAAAUGAUGAUGUGGAUUGCAUGCUGAUUGAUUUGUGUGUUUAAUCAAUUGUGUGAGCAUGGAGACCUAGAUCAUCCUCUCGAGCCUUCAAUGAGAUUCCACGAUAAGUUGUGAUGUUUUGUCUUUUCUCUAGUCAUCUGUUUUCCUAGUUUCUGCUCGUGGCAGUGUGGGAGGCUAGAGGUUGCGAGCGUGGUGCUCAAAGUAGUUCUGUGGUUGUGGUGGUUGUAGUCCGGAGCGCGGGUCUUCGGUGGUGUUUUGUUGGAAAUGGAUUUCCAAGAAGUUAAGUUGGAGACUGUUAUGUAAUACCCUGAGUGACGGGAUGAUUUUAUGUUGUACUUGGAUUAUGUGAAUAUUUCUUGGAUUUGACUUGUUGUGUCAUGUGUAAGAGAAAUAUGUGCGAGUUUCUAAAAAUAGAAAGUGUCGGGUUGGAGACUGUUAUGUAAUACCCUGAGUGACGGGAUGGUUUGCGAGUUGACUUGAAGAAUAGUCAUGGUAGAGAUGAUAUUCCAGGUGGGAAUAUUGUUUGGUAGGUAUGACAUUGUGAUGUUGUACUUGGAUUAUGUGAGUAUUUCUUGGAUUUGACUUGUUGUGUCAUGUGUAAGAGAAAUAUGUGUGAGUUUCUAAAAAUAGAAAGUGUUGGGUUUGACGGUUCUAUUUUUGGAAAUUCUCGGGGUGGUGGUUAGUAUAGCAUUGCGAUGCUAUAAGUGGACCACAGGAGGUAUAUCUGAUCGAGAGAUAUGCUCGGGGGCGUUUAUACUUAUUUGCUCGGAUAUGAUGUGAUGGCCUCGGAUGACGAUUCGAGUGCACGCUUGAGGGUGACGACCCGAGAGCGAGCAUGAGACUUCCCGGAUACCGUAGCUAGAAGGCGGGUGGCCUAAUAGUGAGCCGGUAUGACUUGAGGGUUGCGACCUGAGAGCGGGGGGAGUGGUGAGACUUCCUGGAUACCGUAGUCUAAGGCUGAGGCCUGAGGACGAGCCGGUAUGAUCCAUGGGUUGCGACCUAUGUACGGGGGAGGUGGGUGUGUAUGAGCAAAUAUGGUCUGUAACGUGAGUAUAUGGAUUAGAUAGGAGCCUCAGAGGAGUCAGUUGUGGGAGUGCAGAUCGUUUGGGAUGGUUGCACUGAGUCCGACUGAUGGAGAAUGUUGAAGGAUUCGAGGACGAAUCCAUGUUAGUGGGGGAGAAUUGUAACGCCCGUGUUCUGGAAAAUAAUAGGAGACUAGAUUGUGUAUAGGAAUUAGGGUGGAGUCAGUUUAAUUCCGGUUGAUUUCCUAAAGUGGUCGAUUUGUCAAUUGAAUCAAAGGAGGUUUAAUUAAUGUCGGUUUAGGUAAAUCAUGGUUUAACCAGAUUAAACCAAAAACCCUAACUUUUAUAAGGAGCGCUUCUUCUCUCUUUUGUUUUGUCGCUGUUGUUUCUGAGAGUUGAGUUGAGAAAAGGAGAAGGAGAAGUUUACUUGUGAGAAGGAGAGUGUUAGCUUUGCUUUGGUGUUUAAGGCAAGAGAAGCGGUUUCGUCACGUCCUGGUAGAAUAGAGUUACGACGUAUCAAAUCUUAUCGAAAGGUAAUGAAUUUUGGUAGGUUUGUUCUUAAGGCGUGUACGUUGAUUCUCCUUUUUACAGAAGUGAAUUCGGAUUAAUACUCAGUGAGUUAUAUGCAGUUUGGUGAGACGCGUUUUCUCUGUUGCGAACUGGGAUCAGCGGAGUUUGUAAGUGCGAUCGUGGUUUCAUCGUUUCUCCGAUCGGCAUCAAUAGUGGGAAGCUUGGUGACGUCUGGGUCUUGCUUUUCACCGUAGGGAUUAAGACGUUAACGGGCGUUGUUUGGCUGUUGCAGUUGCGAGGAGAGUCUUUCAUGGUUGUAUUUGUUAUUCAAAUCACCUUGUUAAGGUGAGUGCGUGACCAUGAGCUUAUCUAAGCGAUUGGGAUUGAGUGACUUGUUUGUGAUGAUUUGUAGGUGAAUUGGAAGUUUUAUUGGAUGUUUAGCUUGCUGAAUGGUUUGCUUAUGUUAUAUAUAUGGGUGUUAUCUCAUAGCUUGUGUGUAUAGCUCGUAGAUGGGAGGAUCGCUCUCACUGAGUAUUUGUGAUAAUACUCACGCAUCUCAUUGUAUUUGUGGUGCAAGUAAAUUGUGAUCCGUGGAAUCAUGGCGAGGAGAGGAGGAAGAUCUAGGGUCUCGGUUGUUAUGUUUAUGAAUAUGUUAAUUGUUGUUGGGACCUGGUUUAGAGGCAUGCUAGGUUGCUAGUGUAAAUUGUGGUUCUUGAAUGAUUAAUUAAUUAAUAUUAUGAUUAAUUGAUGUUGGUUUCAUAUGUUUCCGUUGUGCAUGAUGAUUUAUUGUUGGGUUAAUUAGUAGGUAUGGGACUAUUAAUUAAUGAAUUAAAAAAACGGGUCGGGUCUUUUCAAUUUACAUUUUUUAGUAAGUGAAAAUAUUAAUCUCACGACAAAAAAUAAAUAUAAAUCAAUAUAAGUAAUAUAAAUUUUUAUAUGAGCAAUGCAUCUGUUUUAGCACAUUGGCUAAUGUCUUGAAAUAUCUACUUGAUCACUCUAAGGAUAGAAUUCCGGGUUCAAAGCCCGCAAACGAAGACUAUUAUUUCACAAAAAACUUGAAUACAAAUCUGUAUAUACCAUAUAAAUUUAUAUAUUAGCAAAGCAUCCGUUGUACCACACUAGCUAAGGGCUUGAAAGAUCGAAUUUAUUACUCUAACCAAAUAAUUCCGGGUAAACAACCCGACAAUAGAUAAUACUAUUUUAACUAAUAUCUUAAUAGUUUCGCUAAGAUUAUUAACAUUUUUAUAGUAAGAUAAAAAUAUUAAUUUCACGGCAAAACUUCAAUAAAACAAAUAUAUGCAAUAUUAAUUUAUACAUGAGCAUAGAAUCCGUUGUAGCACACUGGCUAAUGUCUUACAAGAUCUACUUAAUCACUCUAAGAUUUGAAUUACGGGUUCGAAGCCAGGAAACGGAAUAAUAUUUUAGAUUUUAUUUUAAGAAUUUUGCUAAAUUAGAAUUACGGGUUCGAAGCCCGGCAACGGAAUACUAUUUUAGAUGUUAUUUUAAGAAUUUUGCUAAAUUAUUUAUAAUUUUUUUAUUUUUAAAUUAUAAAAAAAUAAAAUUUCAGGAGAAGACUUCAAUAUAAACAUGUAUAUGCCAUAUAAAUUUAUAUUUUAACAAAGCAUAUGUUGUAGCAAUUUAUGUAACACCCCGACCGUCAGCUCUCCAGUGGGUCUCACAUUCACCACUAGUCCAUGGGUCCACCUCUCUUAAUGGCCUUACAUCCUCUCACUAGGCCCAUUGGCCUAUUAAUAUAUGAAGGCCAGUUUGCUACGUCCAUGAGGCUUAAAGUAUUGUUUAGCGACCGUACAAAUCACCACAUGAUCUUUCCAUGUGCUUUGGCCUUACUCACACAGUUCCAUUUUUCGAAAGGUCUCCCAUCCUUUUACUACUCCAGGAUAAGCACGCUUAUUGUGAAGUUCUUUCAGGACCCUUGACCAAAAAGAUAAGUGCACUUCGGUGACAUAGGUGGCCAAAUUAAUUCAUUUAAACUUCUCCGCAAAUUGGGGUCUCACACACUAGCUAAACUCUUGAAAGAUUCAAUUUAUUACUCAAACCAAAGAAUUUCGGGUUCUUGGACCAAAAGCAGAGAAUACUAUUUUGACUAUUAUUUUAUGACUAUUCCUAAGAUUAUUUACAUUUUUUAGUAAGAAAAAAAAUAUUAUUUAAGACUUUAGCUAAGUUUAUUUCACGACAAAACUUAAAUGUAAAUCAGUAUAUGCAAUAGAAAUUUGAAUAUUAGCAAACCAUCCUUUGUAGCACACUGGCUAAUGUCUUGAAAAUAACUUUUUGAUCACUCUAACGAUGGAAUUCUGGGCUCGAAGCAUGACAACAAAGAUUACUAUUUUAUCUAUUAAGACUUUUGGUAAAUUUAUUUAUAAUUUUCAAUUUAUACAAAAAUAAGAAUUCCACAAUAAAACUUAAAUAGAAAUCUGUAUAUGCCAUAUACAAAUAAAUUUUAGCAACACAUCCGUUAUACCACACUAGGUAAUGUCUUGAAAAUCUUAUUUAUUACUCAAACCAAAAUCAAUUCUGGUUCGAAUCCCGACAACGGCGAAUACUAGUUUCACUAUUAUCUUAAGACUUUUGCUAAGAUUAUUUACAUUUUUUAGUAAGUGAAAAUAUUAAUUUCACGAGAAAAAUUAAAUAUAAAUCAAAAUAUGCAAUAUAAAUUUAGAUAUGAGCAAUGCAUCCGCUGUAGCACAUUGGCUAAUGUUUUGAAAUAUCUACUUAACUUGAACCAAACUCUCAUGUGCACUUAACUUGAACCAAACUCUCUUGAAUCCCAUGCAGAACACAUGAAUCAUACAUGCUUUAAACCUGAAACAAUCCUUGAUUCAUCCUGUAAAACAAUCUCAACUCAAUGCAUUACUCAUGAGAUUUAGUUUACAUCCCAUCUGUUCAACCAACUGACUUUUGAACCCAACUUGUAAGAUCUGACAAUACAAACUCUUGUUCAACCUCAUGUCAAAACAAAUGUCUAACCAGCAGCUUCUGAGCCUCUGCUAGUCUCCUUGUAACAGCCUUUAGUGCUUCACUCCAGAAUCCCUGAAGCCACAUACUUGCGGUUACAUAACCCUACAUCAGUUCUUUACUUAUGUAGACUUUACCAAGAAGAAACUUGGUACCACAAUUAUACCUUUUUCUCACCAUUCAUAAAUACCAACUUGACAUGUCUUCACCAUUAAUGAAUCCUCACUUAACCUCCGUGUAAGCGACUUUCCUGAGAAACUUAAUGAUGCAACUAGACCUACUAGUCUUCUAGUAUCCUUGUCUAUCAUAACAUGCAUCUUUAACCACCAGAGAUCUACUUGAAACUUCCCCUUAUACUCACAAGCCUCCUUUAUAAGUGUCAUCUUGUCACCAACAACACUUAAACUUCUUGCAAGUGAAAUCUCUUAGAAGAUUCAUCCACCAAAUCAUCUCUGUAGAUGCAAACAGGUGAACCAAAAUUUUUUGGUUUCUGAUUCUCUUUCCAAUGCAAAAUUAACCUAAUCCCAGUCACCUUGCACAAGCCUUGUAGAUUCUUGCACUUACUCGCAAACUCUUGCACAGUCCUGCAACGUCUACAAAAGUCUUCUAAAGCUUUUAAGUCACCAUGAAGAACAAACUCCACCUUGACAACAAAAAUCUCAUUGGCUGCAACUUCGACUCUUGGUACUCUAUGCAUUUACAUUCUUCUGUAAACUGACCUUGAUUGUAGUUCUUUUAAAUCUCUGACAAGUCGAUCCAUUAUUAUUGAGACUUAACCAUUCAUCCAACUCUCCUCAAGACUGACCACUUCAACAUAAAUUGCUUGGUCCAUCUUCAUACUCAUCUGAAUCUUCUACACAACUUGUUGACUUAACAACCCUUUUACACACAAAUUAAACUCUCUUAAGGCGUCCCUUAACAAACAUAAAUUUGUGACUUUUUGUAGUUGUACCUUCAACAAAUUCUUGAACAUCACCACAUAGACUUUCAACAGCCAAAUCAAAACAAGAUACAAUCUUGACUUUCUAGUAGUUGAAAUCGUCGUCUAGAUUCCUUAACUAAAAUAGUUUCGAGUAUUUAGAAGCUUCAAAACAAAACAUCACAUAUAUCUUGUGAUUGCAGCGGAAAACUGAAUGCUUGUUUAGAUAAGUCUGAGCCUUUUGGAUGAUGUUUUGAUUUUCUCUUCACAGCAAUGUGCUAACAACCUUAACACAUGAACCUGAAUCAAAUACUGUAGAUAACUCCACCUUAAACCAACCCUAUAAUUGAUUUAGCCUUCGAUCAUGAAUACUUUCAUGAUCAUGAGUCUUCUACAACAGUCUAUGGAUCCUCCUUGUAUGCUUACAUCGUCAUGCCUGAGUCUAUGAAAUCAUCAACCUGGCUCUGAUACCACUUGUUGAGAAUCACAGACCCCAAUUCAUCUUUGUAUGAAUCGCAGACCACGACUUUGUCCCAACUCCUCUUUGGAUCAUAGAUCAAUAACAAGACAUAAACAUAACACAGAUAUUUAACGAGUUCCCCUCUGCGUGAGGGUACAUCUCGUGUGGGAACCUUCUCCCACAAACAUCCACUAUCAAUCAGUUAGGUUACACAACGCUCUAACAAGCGCUUACACUAUGUUUCAUAUACAAAGCUUAUAGAGCAACAACAAAGAAACCUAAAGAAGAAAACAUAGGUAAAAACACACAUGUUCAUUGUCUUAGAUGCUUUUCUUCUUCCUCUCUCUAUGUCUCUGAUUCAACUCUCCCUUCCAUAUAUCAACACAGAAACACCUCAAUGAACCCCCAAGAAACAGAUCCACCCUUUGUCUCUCAUCAAAGUGUCAUGGAGACACUUUAAACCUAGACUAGGUCAUGUUCAGCUCUCAGCCCUCGGCCCCAGCCUAUCUACUGCUCAUUACUCAGGGUUCAAAGUACUGAUGCAUGCUCCCUGCACAACGCCAUGCGCAUGCCCUCAACACUACACCUUGCGUUAUGCCUUACGGCUACAACUAGCCUCCAGCGUGUGACCUUUUACAUACAUGCUCUAGCAUACCUGUUUCUUCAACCCUAGUUUCCCAUAUAUACUGAAACCCUAGUGCUUAUGUCGGUUUACUCUUGCAGCAUACACAACUUAAAUCCUGUAUGGGCUACACACCAGUAUAGGCCCAAUUCACUGAGUCAGACCAAAUAAGCCCAAAUGAAGCAAAUAGAUACAACACAUAUAAAAUUAUAUAUUAACAAAGCAUCCGUUGUACCACACUAGCUAAGGGCUUGGAAGAUCUAAUGUACUACUCAAACCAAAGAAUUCCGGGUUCGAAGCCCGGCAACAGAGAAUACUAUUUUAACUAAUAUCAUAAUAGUUUUGCUAAGAUUAUUAACAUUUUUAUAGUAAGAUAAAAAUAUUAAUUUCACGACCAAACUUCAAUAAAACCAAUAUAUGCAAUAUUAAUUUAUACAUGAGCAAAGAAUCCGUUGUAGCACACUGGCUAAUGUCUUAAAUGAUUUAUUUGAUCACUCUAAGAUUAGAAUACUGGGUUCGAAGCCCGGCAACGGAAUAAUAUUUUAGAUAUUAUUUUAAGAAUUUUGUUAAAUUUAUUUAUAAUUUUUAAUAUAAAAAAAAUUUCAGGAUAGGACUUCAAUAUAAAUCUGUAUAUGCGGUACAACUUUAUAUUUUAGCAAAGCAUCUGUUGUAGCAAAUUAUGUAACGCCCCGACCGUCAGGGUUGGCCCUAUGGUAAGGCAAGCAAAGCAUGAGCUUUAGGCCACAUUGAUUUCGGUAAAUUAUCAAGGCCACAUAUUUUUUGUUAUAUAGGUUUUAUUAAUGUUAAUACUCCUAUAGUCCUAUAUAUUAUUAAUAAUACGUAUAUACUUCAAUAUGAUCUGUUUAGUGUCUGGGUUCUUUCUCUUCUUUUAUUACUUGAACUUACGUGGCCUCCAUAUAUAAUAUCGUGGCUUUCUUUCAUCAAAUGUUUACAGUCCAGUUCGUUUUUUUCUAACUGUCUCAGUUUUUUUCUAGUUUUAGUUAUUAUCUUCAAAAACCUAUAGUAUUACAAAAACAACUUGGAAGAAAUCUCCACUUCUUAGUAUCCAACGAAUUUCACUAGAAAUUUUAUAAAAUGUUAGCGUAUAAAAUUAUCUUUGAUCUACAAGCACAUUGUGUUAUAAUAUAAAUUCAACAUAUGUUUUUGGGAAAUAAAUUUGGAUCAUAUUGAUUAUAUAGAAAAGUAUAUAUAUAUAUAUAUAUAUAUAGCUUAUGAUCGAGUUAAAUGUAAAUUUUUCGAAGAAUUAUUGAUAAGAUUGGGCUUUGAUAUCCGGUGGGUACAUGUGGGUCUCACGUUCAACACUAGUCCAUGGCCCCACCUCUCUUAAUGGCCUUACGUCCUCUCACUAGGCCCAUGGGCCUAUUAAUAUCCGAAGGCCGGUUUGCUACGUUCAUGAGGCUUAAAGUAUUCUUUACCGACCCUACAAAUCACCACAUGAUCUUUCCAUGUGCUUUGGCUUCACUCACACAGUUUCACUUUUCAGAAUGUCUCCCAUCCUUUGACUACUCCAGGAUAAGCACGCUUAUUGUGAAGUUCUCUCAGGACCCUGACCAAAAAGAUAAGUGCACUUCGGUGACAUAGGUGGCCAAAUUAAUUAAUUUAAUCUUCUCCACAAACAGGGGUCUCACACACUAGCUAAACACUUGAAAUAUUUAAUUUAUCACUCAAACCAAAGAAUUUCGGGUUCUAGGACCAAAAACAGAGAAUGCUAUUUAGAUUAUCAAAAACAGAGAAUACUAUUUUGACCAUUAUUUUUUAGUAAGACAAAAAUAUUAUUUUAAGACUUUUUCUAAGUUUAUUUCAUGACAAAACUUAAAUGUAAAUCAGUAUAUGCAAUGUAAAUUUGAAUUUUAGCAAAGCAUUCGUUGUAGCACACUGGCUAAUGUCUUGAAAGAUGGUUUUGAUCACUCUAACGAUGGAAUUCCGGAUUCGAAGCCCGACAACAAAGAUUACUAUGUUAACUAUUAAGACUUUUGCUAAAUUUGUUAUAAUUUUCAAUUUAUACAAAAAUAAGAAUUCCACAAUAAACCUUAAAUAUAAAUCUGUAUAUGACAUAUAAAAUUAAAUUUUAGCAAAGCAUCCAUUGUACCACAAUAGGUAAUGUCUUGAAAUAUUUAUUUAUUACUCAAACCAAAAACAAUUCUGGUUUGAAGCAAGCCAACGGUGAAUACUAUUUUAACUAUUAUCUUAAAACUUUUGCUAACAUUAUUUACAUUUUUUAGUAAGUGAAAAUAUUAAUUUCACGAUAAUAAUUAAAUAUAAAUGAAUAUAUGCAAUAUAAAUAUAUAUAUGAGCAAUGCAUCAUUUAUUAAUAAUUUUUAAUUUAUAAUUUAUAUGCGGUAUAAAUUUAUAUUUUAGCAAAGUAUCUGUUGUAGCAAAUUAUAGUCACCUCUCCUGUGGGUCUCACGUUCACCACUAGUCCAUGGGCCCAGCUCUCUUAGUGGCCUUACGUCCUCUCACUAGGCCCAUGAGCCUAUUAUUAUCCGAACGCCGGUUUGCUAUGUCUAUGAGGCUUAAAGUCUUGUUUACUGACCCCACAAAUACCACAUGUUCUUUCCAUGUGUUUUGGCCUCACUCACACAGUUCCACUUUUCGGAAGGUCUCACAUCCUUUGACUACUACAGGAUAACCACACUUAUUGUGAAAUUCUCUCAGGAUCCUUGACCAAAAAGAUAAGUGCACUUCGGUGACAUAGGAGGGCAAAUAAAUUCAUUUAAACUUCUCCGCAAACAGGGGUCUCACACACUACCUAAUGUCUUGAAAGGUUUAAUUUAUUACUCAAACCAAAGAAUUUUGGGUUGUAGGAUCGAACACAGUGAAUACUAUUUUAACUAUUAUUUUAUGACUAUUGCUAAGAUUAUUGCAUAAAAUAACUAAUAACCUGGGCAUUGAUCCUAACUAGCGAAUCCAGGAAGUAAACAUGGUUUAAAAAACAUCAUCACCCUCUAUACUAAUGUAACUGCCCUACUUGUAACGUUCUAGACUAAAACUUAUUAUGCAAAUGCAAACUAUAUGAUCAAUCUUUUCUUUAAAGAUUUUUCUAAUAAUUUUUCAAUUUGUAUAGGGUUUCAAUGCACAUAGAUAAAUGGAGAAUAUACACUAAAAAUUUAUAAUUCUACCCAGAAUAUAAGAUAGUGUAUAUUUCUACCUAAACUGUUAAUCCAUUUAAAUUAUCAACCCAAACUCUUAUUUUAGAGUCGAUAUCGACACUGACUCAAACAGACGUUAGUCAACCGUUAAAAUCGAUUACUCGGACGACAUAGUGGCAAGAGCAAAGAUGAUAUGGCGUGUCGUUGAACAGAACGACGUCGUUUGUUUAUCAAACUGAAGUCUAUAUGGGUCAAAAUUCGAUCUAGGGUUUCACACAUCUUUUUCAUUCUGCUUCUGCUCUUCAAUUAGAGAUUAGACUAACUCAUAUGUACACUAAGAUGCUUCCCUAAUACAUGUAAGAAUGUGGAGAAGUUGUUAUAAUGAAGACAUCAACAGCUGUUAGAAACCCAAGAAGAUUGUCCCAUGCAUGUCCUUUUGGAAGGGAAAGGGUAAGUGUAAAGUCUCUUAAUUGUCUUGUAACAUUUAGGUUUUGUCUGCAAAUUUGAAGUUUAGCAUUGAAUUAUGUUUGUAUAUAUCAUAGGAUUAGAGUCAUACAUUUCAAUGGACUGAUACAUCCAUGGUCGAAAAAAUUAAAGAUUUGAUUGAGAAAGUGGAGAAUAUUGAAGGAGCUUCAGUCACAUUGCAGAAGGGCUUCAAUGCUUGCAAGUCUGAGAUUGAUACUCUCGCCAUGGAAUCACGCGUGUGUGAGGCUGUCGUUGAGAAGAAGGUUCGAGAGUGUAAAAUGUAGCUAAUAAGCCUGAAGAACAUUGUUGGGUUUGCUUUGGUGAUGGAUUUUUUUUCAUUUUUAUUUAUUGAGUAUGUGUGUUGUAAAAUGGCUAUGAAAGUAACUUGAAGACUUGUGUUUGUAUGUUUGAGACUAAUGUGGCGCGCUAUGAUAUGCAAUUUAUGUUUGUAUGUGAAAGAUGGAAAAAUGGUCAGUUCUCAUAACCUAAAUCCAACGAAUGAAACUGAUAAAAAUGGUCACUUAGCAUAAAAAUACAACCGAUAUAUUAUCCAAAACAGACUAUAGAGUUACAAUUCACAAAAACAUAAAACAGACCAUUGUGUAACCUGUCACAAGCAGAUCAAAACAUGGUUAUGUUGCAUAUCCUAAAAUCAGACCAUGACAAAAGAAAAAGUAAAGAGAAAUUGGUAUUAAACUGCUUCAUACUUCUAAUUUCAAGCACCAUGUGAGUCUUGUGUUGGUUGACUUGGUCCAACAUCAUCUACCAUUGUGUUUGAUGUUUGUUUCUUCUUCUACUUCUUUUGCAGUUGGAUAUAUUUCUCCACUCCAACAGGUGGGCAUUUAGCGUCAUUGUGUCCAGCCUGACUACAACGAUGACAAUUCAUAAUCCUCUCCUCUCUACUGGCAAAUUUCUUCUUUGUUGGAGACUCAUGCUUGCUUUUUUUCCUUUUUGGGUUUGGCUUUCUUCCUUUUCUGUUUUCAAAUUUUUCAACAAAACUUAGUGGCAAUACCACAAAAUCAGAUUUAUGAUAGAAACAUAUACCAAUUACUGGCCGGAUCGAGUCACUAUAGAUCUAUUGUUUUCUUGAACUGAGGAGCGAAGUAGAGAUGUAAUCUUCUCUAUUACGCUCAUUUUCUACGAUCAUGCGUAAUGCAUGCCUGCAGGGAACUCCACUCGUCUCCCAUCUAUGAUGAGAUGAUGGGCUCAAGUGGUGUGGAUUUAGUGGAGUUUGUGACAUGUCCGACUGAGUAAGACAGUAAGCACCAGUUAGGUGAACUCGAGCAGAGUCCAGUGAGUAUGUUUAAAGUCACUUACCUUGUUUUUUUAUGCCUUUUAGGCUUUCGAAGGUUCACAUAGAGGAAUUGAGGAUCCCACUAGUGUCUUUUUAUCUUCUAAGUACUUCUUGAUAUGUGACAAUUCAUAGUGAACUCGCUGCCAUCCUUUUUCUGUAGAGUGAUUGCGCCAAAUGAAAAAACGUUUUGAUCUUAGGUCAAGACCAUCUAGACUUAAGAUUUCGAGGAAAUUUCUUAAGUCUAUAAUUGAACUUUUGCAUACUUCAUUAUUCUUUUGCAUAGGAACAGUUAAUCCAGCGGGAACAGUUGCGCCGAGAGGAACGAUUGCUACAACCGGAACAUGGGGAACGUUUGCUCCAGCAAGAACGGUGGCGGGAACAUGCACGACAGCGCCAGAGGGAACGUUUGCACCAGCUGGAACUGUGGCUCCUAGUGGAACAGUUGCGCCAAGAGGAACGAUUGCUCCGGAAGGAAAGGUGGCUCCGGCGGUAACGGUAGCUCCGGUAGGAACGGUUGCUCCAAUGGGUUGAAAAACGGGAAGAGGUAGAGAGGUGGUGGAAGUUGAAGCAGCCAUUUUGUGUAGUUAAUAUGAGAGAAAUUUGUUGCUUGGGUUUUUUUGACUUGAUCUUCUAGUUUUAGUAGAUGUGUAGUCUCAUCAGUUUCGGUCUUAGAGAAAGUCUAUUUUUCGAUUAAAAUAAUCAUCUUUUGCUAAAUAAAAGAGAAAAUAAUUACUAUGCGUAGGGAAAAAAAGAAGGUUAUAUGUAAAUAGUUUCCAAUGUUUUUAUAACCGUAUUGCCCAACCCGGUUGACUAAAUAUACUAUACAUUGAACUAACCCAAAUUAGCUGAUGAUCAACUGUUGUCGCUGGAUUAACUGUUCCUAUGUAAAAGAAUCAUUUCCUAAACAGUCUAUCUCCACCCCUCUUGUACAAAUAAGGUUCAUCCUAGAAGUAGUGAUUGACGUCUCUAAUAAUCUCUUUCUUUUUAUAAGUAUCGAUGUCUUCAUGAGCCUCUUAAAAGACCUCGUAGUUCAUAAUAUCCGCAUACCAAGGCUUACUCUUUGAACUGACUGUGAGACGGUGAAUUACCUUCAUAGACAUGCAUGUUUGAUGCAUCUUCUCACAUAUCUCAACAACCAUAAUAGGUUCCUCAGGCAUAAUAUCAUCAUUAAGAACUGGAUCCUCUUUCUGGAAAGAUUAUCAUCAACUCCAUUUUCUAUUUCCUUCUUAUCAAUAAUUUCUAUGUCAUAUAAAAAAAAAACAUAAAACUAUUUCUAUGUCAAAUUCCUGUAGAAAAAGAAUCCAUCCCAAUAGUCUAGGCUAGGUAUGUCUUGGCAUAGAUAUGUCUUAGGACUACAUAAUCAAUGUACACAGUAACUUUGGAGCCCACCAAGUAGCUCAUAAACUUUUCAAAUGAAAACACAACUGCCAACUACUUUUCUCUAUUCUUGCAUACCUCCCUUGAGCCUCGUCUACUAGCAAACGUUGCUUCUUUCCAAUGUCCUAGUGAAGCCAAUACAAGGAAGCAAACGUCGCGCGUCAUCAACUACUAGGUGAGUGAAGUAGUACACAUACAUCUCGUUGCUUUUCUCCUAGUGCAACCAUUGAUCUUACCUCUAGUUCUGGAUGUCAAUCAAUCUUGGUGCAACAAGCUCUGAUCUCAGGGGGACACUACAAGCCUCUAAGAUUACAGUGACCAGGCCUUCCAUGCACAUAACUCCCUGAAAUAUAUAGUUUUUCAGCUGGUGCAAUAGAGUGAAUGAGGGUGAUGUGUUGGUUUAUCACCUCUCAUUAAUGUCCAUCUACUGUAGAUAACAAGAGGUCCUCAAGUGUAAGAUCAAUUACCUCCAACUCCUCGUUGAUCAGCAUCCUUGUCAUCUCCCUUGCAAAGAGCAUGUUCGCAAUUGAUAUGUGGAAGUAGCGAAUGACUAGACUUUUAAUGUGGAUGUUCUUGCUCCGGGAUGAAGCAAACUUCUUUUCGUUCCCAAUUGUUGCCCAAAGAGACAACCUUUAUUUAAGUUUUAAUUAAGUUUGUAAAACAAUGAGUGCCCAGGGCACCGUGCUACUAAUGGUUUUCAAAGAAUUUUUAAGUACAGGUUUAGGUGAACUUGAACUUCUUGCUGACGUACGAGCUGUACUAGAUCAAUACAAUGAUGUUUUCCCAGAAGAGAUUCCACCAAGACUACCUCCUUCGCGGCAUUGAACAUCAGAUCGAUCUUGUACCAGGUUUUGCUCUACCUAACAAACCAGCUUACCAAAUGAAUCCGGAGGAGUCUAAGGAUCUAGAAAAGCAAGUGCGCGACUUGAUAGACAAAGGGUACAUCAGAGAGAGCCUCAACCCGUAUGUUGUACCAUUUAUUUUGGUACCAAAGAAGGAUGGUACAUGGAGGAUGUGUGUGGAAUGUAGACAUCAUAUUCCAAGAUAAGACGACAUGUUGGACGAGCUUAGUGGUGCUAUCAUCUUCUCCAUUCCGUUGCUAGCUCAUCAAGAGUUUGUCCAGCUUCUCAUUCACAAUCUUCAUCUCCUUCUUGUACUUCUCAUCUAAUAAAUGAGCUAUAUGAUCGACUUCAAAUGAACGAGCUUUAAUGAACAUGAGCUAGAUCAUGAGCUCCACUCUUUUUUUACAUCUAAAUAGAAAAUUUGUAAUAUAUCUUUUCCAUUAAAUAAAACAAAAAUAGAAAAGCUUAAUGGAAAAUUUGUGUUUUACUUUUACAUGAUAAUUUUAUAAGAUAAAUAUUAACAAUAUAGAAAUAAUCCUUUUUAACAAUUAAUCUACAAUUUUUCAUAAAAUAAAAUAGAAAUUAUCCUAAUUAAAUCACCUAAUGUUUUUUAUAUAAACACAUACUAGAACAUCGUUUGUCUCAUAAUUCACAAACUUCAUUAAUCUCAAUAGCAAGUUAGGUUUUCGGCUAUCAUAAGGGUAAUUCUCAAAUAACUUGUCAUUAGGUUGUGAGUUGUGGCGUUGUGUCAUGCAUAUGUGAGUUAUGUAACAUAACUUCAGAUGUUCUAUGAUUCUAUGAUCCCAUUAUAUGUAUUUCAUUAUCUUUUUAAUGUCUUACGUAGUUACGUACUUACGUUAGAUAUCAUACAAACAAAGAAAAAAUCCAAUAUACAUGUAACAUGUGUGAUCUAACGAUGAUUGUUCGAUUUUAUAUACCUUUCAAAUAAUUAUUUUUAUCUCAUCCAUUUAAUUUGACUUUUAACAAAUAUUACCUUUUUUAUAUAGGUUUAAUGGAGCAGUGGGAAGCAGAUUUAAUGCAUGAAGAAGAAAAUAUGAUGAGUGAUAAUGAGGAACCAUUACCUGGGAAUGAAGCAGGAUCAAGUGUAAGAAAGAAGAGGGCACGAACAUCACCUGUGUGGAAACAUUUCAAGUUUGAACUGGUUGGAGAGAAGAUGAAGAAGGCUACUUGCAAUUAUUGUUUAAGGGAAUAUAACAUGGCCCUGACCACUGGAACUACUCACUUGAUGCAUCAUUAUAAUGCAUGUCCUUGUGUGAAUGUAGGGAAUAUGAUGCUUUAUGUCGAUUCAUGUCGACAUGAAGCUACAUGCUAAAAAGAUUGAUCAGAAAAUUGUGAGGGAAAAAUGUAGCAGAGUCCUCAUAAGACAUGAUCUUCCUUUUUCUGCUAAUGAGUAUGAGGAAUUAAGAGAUUUUCUUAAGUAUAUGAAUCCAGACUAUAUUUCAUAUACUAGAAACACUGAUGCAUAAGAUGUUAUCAAAACGUGGAAGACUGAGAAGGAGAAGUUGAAGUUAUAGUUGGAAAAUAUUCCUAGCAGAAUAUGUUUAAUGUCGGAUUGUUGGACAGCAAUUUAAGGUGAAGGAUACAUAUCUUUCACGGCUCAUUAUGUAGAUGAGAAAAGGUUAUUGAACAAUAAGAUUCUAUCUUUUUGUGAUAUACUUCCUCCACAUACUGUUGAAGCUUUAACUACUAAAAUUUAUGAGUGUCUGAGGCCAUGUUUAUCAGCGUUAGUAGGCUAAGUCCCAACCAAAACACCCAUUUAGUUUAAAAGUAAAUCCAUGAUAUAUUGAAGAAACGUUCGUAUAAACGGGACGAAUUAAGCAGGUCCUUCGUCCAGCGUGUCAUGUUCUCAUUGGUCGUCGGUUUAGUGUAGGUAUAAUUUUUUCUGUGUUGAAUUGUUUUCUUUUCUUUUCUUCUUCUCUCUCUCUCGACUCUCUCUCUCGACUCUCUCUCUCGAGUUUCUCGAGUGCGACCAAAGACGAUUUCACAAGCGAUUGAAAUCGACCUCUGAAUUCCGGCGACAGAAAGGCUCAAUCGUCAGCUUCGUCCUCUUCUUCGUCUUAUUUAUCUUCUGGCAAAGCAAAUCCCUUAGAAGAACCCGGAAAUCAGACCCUAAUCGGUAAGAAUUCUAAAUCCGAGAAGAAAAUUUGGGGGUUUUUAUUUAUUAUGCUUGGAUCUUCUUUGUAUAGGUGAUUUUUAUAGAGUUGUUAGGGUAUUCGUUAUUGAUUGAAUCAUUUUGGUAUAGAAAUCGAUUAGGGUUUAUUUAUGUAGAUUCGAUUUAUGGAUCUAGGGUUUUCAGAUAAUGGUUAGAUUUGGUUUGAAUAUGCAUGGUUCUUCUUUGUAUAGGUGAUUUGUAAUGAGUUUUUUUUUGUCUCUAUUUGUUAUUGAUUGAUGUUGGGUACUGAAAUCGUUUGGUUCCAAUUUCUGAUUUACUGUUUCGUAACUGUUUCUAGUGUUUAUUUGGGUCUGAUGAUGCUGAUGGAAUUUGAUUGGUUUGUACUGUAUAUUUGGGUUGGAACCAAACCGUUUGUAGUGUUUAUUUGAUUGGUUUCUAGUGUUUAUUUGGGUUGGAACCAAACUGUUUCUAGUGUUUAUUUGAUUGGUUUCUAGUGUUUAUUUGGGUUGGAACCAAACUGUUUCUAGUGUUUAUUCCGGUUGGAACCAAACUGUUUUUGAUGUUUAUUUGGGUUAGAUGGAAUUUGAUUGGUUAAAGGCUCAAUUGUAAUCUGUAUUGAUGUAGGUGAGGUGAACCAAGUGGAGUGAUAAGCACCAAUUUGAUCCACAUUUAAAGGUAAAUGUCAUUCCUUUUUAACUUCAGCAAUUGUAAUAUGUUUGAGCAUUUUGAAACUGAUAUGAAUGAUCUUUCAAUGACAUGAAACUGAUAUGAAUGAUCUUUUAAGUUGCUACAGAUGUGGUUGUAGUUUUCAAUGUCAAACUGUUUUAGUUAGGGGUGUUCUUUGCUUUACUAAUGUUGUUUGCGUGUAAUAAGGAGUCUUGGUCAUAGACUGAUAGAAAUUGUGACAGUUAGGCAAGUUGUUUGUUUCACCGUAAUAGUUAGCCAUGAUGUUUGCUGAUUGUUUUAGGUUUGUUGUUUCUGUAGUAGUUAGGAUUUUGUUUGUUGUAUUUGUGUUGUUCAUGUUUGGUGUUAGCCAUGUUGUUGAUGUUUGCUGUUUGCUGUUAACUUUAUCAUUAAAGAAAGUGAUAUAAAUAGAAAGUAUGAAUUGCUAUUGUUGUAAAAGGUGUUGUACUAGCUAGUUUCAUAAUGGCUGAGAUUUAUUGCAUGUACUUGGCUUCUUGUUUUGUUGUAAUGAUGUUGUAUAAUAGUACUAGCUAUGAGAGUUUCAUGUCAAGUAGCUUGUAGAAAUUAUAAAAUAUGAAUGAUAAAGUAGAGUUAAAUGUAAAAACUGGUGAUUAGACAUAUGCAGUUAGCUAGUAAUGAGUUAUUACUUGAUACCAUUUUCUAUCUUCUCCACCAUCGUCUCUCACCUAUUAAACUUGAUAGCAAGCUUCUUUCUUCUCCACCAUAUUCUAUUUGUCCUCUUUCUUCAAACCACUAACCAGCCAAACCUUUCUAGACUUAUCUUCAUUCUCGAUCCCUUUCAUAUGGAUUCUUACAAUCCAUAUCCCCACUCCUCAAGUUAUCUAGACCUUCUUAACAGUCAACAAGAAACUCAUACCCAAGGAAACUCUUCUUAUGAGAGUUUCCCUCCUUCUGCCUACAACCUUGCUUCUGAGUUAUCUAUUUGGAGUUCACAGCAAUCAGCUGCCACACCUACAUCUGAAGAAACUCCAGUGGAUCGCAAAGAGAGAAAGAAGUGGAACAAUACUGAUGAUGAAGUACUUAUCUCUGCUCGGCUCAAUAAUUCAAAGGACACAGUAGUUGGAAAUCAACAGAAGGCUGGAUGUUUUUGGCAGAGGGUGGGAGAGUAUUAUGCUAGCUCUCCCACUUCCACAGAGAAUGGUCAGAAGGGCUUGAAUGUUAACUGCAAGCAAAGGUGGCACAAAAUCAAUGAUUUUGUGAACAAGUUUGCUGGUGCUUAUGCAACUGCAGAAAGGCUCAAUAGUAGUGAUCAUUUAGACAAUAAUGUUCUGAAGGUCGCAUACGAUAUCUACUACUCUUACCACAAGAGCAGGUUCACUUUGGAGCAUUGUUGGUGCCUUUUGAGGUAUGAACAUAAGUGGCUCAGCCUGAACACUAUCAACAGUGGUACACCUAAAGGAAGAUCAAAGAGGAAACCUCAACAAGAUGGUUCACAGUCAGCAACUAGCACGGGUGAAGACUCUAAGAUCAGACCGGAAGGGGUCAAGGCUGCUAAGGCAAAGAAGAAUAAUGGUGAAGGGAAGGCAGUAGCUGAGUAUCAAAGCAUGUGGGAAAUCAAGAAGGUGGAGAUGGCUGAAACUGAGAAGCUUCAGAAGCUUGCUAUCCUUGACACAAUACUGGCUAAGAAGGAACCUCUUUCUGAGAGUGAUGAACUUAUCAAGAAGAAGAUUGUUUCUCAGUAUUUCUGAGAUUUUGUAUCUCUUAUUACCUUUACUAAUUAAGUUUGCAUGUGUUUCUAUUAUUCUAUUAAUGUGUACUCGGCUUUAGGUGAUGAUGUCUUCUAUUAUUGUAUGAAUGUGUACUAUGCUUUUGGUGAUGUUGUGUGUCUGUUAUAAACUGAAUGUGUACAUGGCUUGGUUCUAAUGUCUUUAUGUUUUUGUUCUUGUAUGACAAACAUGAUAUAUAAGAAUGUUGUUAUGUAUAAGAAAUGUUGUUAUGUUUCUGAUUCUGUUUAUUAAACUUUUAUACUUGAAGUGUCUUCUAAUGCUAGUUUAAUGGUUAUUUUGAGGUUGAAAUAUCAGAUGGGGCAGGACUACAAUUAUUCACAGCCUUCCUCCUCAGACCAAUACGACCAUCAUGACCACAGUGAAGACAAAGAAGAAGAGGCCUUGAUUCUACUGGAUGAUGCUGACAGUCACUUGAUCAAUGCAAGAGCUAUUCUGAUGGAUGAAGUUGAAACUCACUUGCAACAAACUCAGGCGAGUCAAUACCCUCCUCAACCUGAGGUAGAGAUUGGUUUCCCAAAGUAGUGCUACUGUAGUGGGAGGCCUACUCUAAGUACUUGCUACAACCCAAAUAAUAUAGGCAGAAGGUAUUCUAUUAACUUGUCUCACUAUGCUUCUGUUAUAAUUCUAUACGUACUGAGUCUUUAACGGUUUAUCUGGUUGUGUAAAUGUGAUGGUAGGUUCUUCACAUGUCAAAAUGUGGAAGAUGGGGAUAUGCAUCUCCACAAGUGGUGGGAGGAUGCUGCAAUGGAAGAGAUGAGAGACUUGGACAGAAUGUAUGAGGUCUUAUCCGAGAAGGUUGAUGCCUUAAACUGCGUGAGUCACUUUGAAACGGAUCAGAAGCUCCAUCACUUAGAAUUGUUAGUCUCUGAUCUAGGUAAGAAAAACCUUAGGUUUAGAAGUGGAGUUCAGAUGGUUGUAGGUCUAAUGGAUGUUGCAGCAUUUGUUUUAGCAGUGUUGGUAGUGUAUAAGUAAGAAAAUUUUGUUGUGUAGUGCUAAUGACAUUGUGGUAAGGUUCACGGGUUUGUUGUGUAGUGCUAAUGACAUUGUGGUAAGGUUCACGGGUUUGUUGUUUUUGUUGUAUUAACUGGAUAUUUGUGAUCGGAUAUGAUUUAUUUCAUCUCUAUGCAUUCACCAGUAAUGUAUUUAUUCACGGGUUUUGUAUAAUUUUUGAAUUGAACCAAGUUGAUUUAUGUUCACGGAUAUGUAUAAUUUUGUAUAUUUUGUAUAUAUGCAUAACUUUUCUAAUUAUUAUCAUCUCUUUUCGGUUCACGGGAUUGAUAUAAACAUGUAUGUGCAACAAAUAUUCAACACUUCUAUAAAUGAACACAAACCAAACCUUCUUCUUUCACACUUCUAUCUCUACACAAACCUUCUUCUUUCACACUUUUUCACACUUCUAUCUCUACACAAACCCUUCUUCUUUCUUUCUUCUUCCACAAACCUUAUUAUAUUUUGCCUUCUACACAAACCUUCUUUCUUAUUUCUUCUACACAAACCUUCACUUUCAAUACCAAUCUCCCUUUCUCACUUGCUUUUGUAUUAAUAUGGCAUCAUCUUCAAAUCAUUUCCACUACCAAAGAGAUGAGGAUGAUGCAUUUGAUGCAUAUUAUCAAAAUUUCCAAGAAUAUUUAAAUCUCUUAGAAGAACCCACCUUACGAAAGAAACGAGUUUUUAUCGAAAGAAACCGUGAAGAAGGCCACAAUAAUCUUUGGAUUGAUUAUUUUAGUGACACUCCAACAUACCCACACAAUUUAUUCCGUCGACGUUUUCGAAUGAACAAGCCAUUGUUCAUGCGUAUUGUGCACCGUCUAUCUACCGAAAUCCAAUAUUUUCAACAAACCCAAGAUGCGGCCGGACGCGCUAGUCUUUCACCAAUACAAAAAUGCACUGCAGCAAUUCGUCAAUUAGCAUAUGGUGGUGCAAAGGAUACGGUGGAUGAGUAUGUACGGAUUGGAGCUACAACAGCUCGAAAAUGUUUGCACGAGUUAACGCUUCAAUAAUCCAAUUGUUUUGCGAUGAAUACUUACGACGUCCCACACAGGAAGACCCACAACGACUACUCCAUCAAAAUGAACAACGUGGAUUCCCCGGGAUGGUUGGGAGCAUAGACUGCAUGCAUUGGGGGUGGAAGAAUUGUCCCACUGCUUGGAAAGGCAUGUAUUCAAGAUCAAUCGGAAAACCUACGAUCGUAUUGGAGGCGGUAGCUUCGUAUGACCUUUGGAUUUGGCAUGCAUUCUUUGGAGCUCCAGAUACUAUGAACGAUCUUAAUAUUCUAGAUCGAUCUAAUGUUUUUGAUGACAUUAUAAACGGUCAAGCUCCGGAAGUUAAUUUCUUUGUCAACGGAAGGGAGUACAAUUUAGCAUACUAUCUCACUGAUGGUAUUUAUCCAAAAUGGGCGACUUUUAUUCAAUCUAUCCGACUUCCACAAGUUAAGAAAAAUUCUCUCUUUUCUAAAAAAUAAGAAGCAGUGCGGAAAUAUGUUGAGCGUGCCUUUGGAGUCUUGCAAACUAGAUUUGCCGUUGUUAAAAAUCCUUCUCCUUUAUGGGAUAAAAACAAAAUGGCAAAUGUGAUGAAAGCAUGCAUAAUACUCCAUAAUAUGAUUGUGGUAGAUGAACGCCAUACGUACAAUCUCCGUAACGUUGAAUUUCAACACGAAGAAGAUGUCGAUCAAACAUAUACCGUUGGCACCGCCGUAGCGGGUUCAAAUAUCGGGACAACGAUUACAAGACGAACAAGAGUUCGUGAUAAACAAGCCCAUCAACAAUUAAAAGAUGAUUUGAUUGACCAUAUUUGGACUAAUUUUGGACAUCUUCAAGAUAAUGAAGAUUAAUUUCCAAAAUUCUAAGAAUGUCGAUCAAUAAAAUGUUGGUAAAAUAUUUCUAUGCUUAUGUAAAAUGUUUUUAAUGUCUUUAUUGUAUGUUUACAAGCUUAAUCCUUGUUUGUAACUUUGUAAUUUUAAUAUGUUUAAUAUUAAUCCACUAUUUAAUAUGUUUUUCCUUUUGUAAUUCAAAUCAAAUAAUUAUUUAAAAAACAAAAUAUAUGAUAUUUAUAAUGGUGGGACAAAAUAUCAAAAUACACCAAUGCUCAACCUUCAAAAUAAAUCAAUUGUCCUACAUGUAGAAUAUACAUAAAAAUUAGUGGGAGAAACCAAUGGGACAAACCAAUGUGCAUGGUCUAAGGGAUUGGGGAAUAGAGAAAAAAGUAUUCACUCUUACGCUGAAUAAUGCUACAGCUAACGACACUAUGCAAGAUAUUUUGAAAGAGCGUCCAAAUCUAUAUCAUAAUUUGUCGUGUGAAGGUGAAUUUUUUCAUGUGCGAUGUUGUGCACAUAUCCUAAACCUUAUUGUCCAAGAUGGUCUAAAGGUCAUUGGUGAUGCUCUGUCUAAAAUAAGAGACAGUGUGAAGUAUGUUAAAGCUACAAAGGCUAGAGGAAUUGCAUUUGAGAUAUGUGUACUAGAAGAAGGUGUCGUAGUUACUUUGUCUUUGGAUUUUCUAACAAGAUGGAAUUCUACUUAUUUGAUGCUUGACAUAUUGGGAUCAAUAUAGUGUCAUUCUAGCGAUGGGAGCAGUCCUCGACCCUAGAAUGAAAUUCAAACUCCUAAAGCGUUGUUAUGAAGUGCUUGAUCCAAGUACGUGUAAUAAAAGGUUAGACCACAUAAAAGAAAAGUUGCGUUUACUCUUUGAUGAUUACGUGCUUAAAUAUCCAACAACCACAAGCACCACUAAUGCUUCUUCUACUAAUGCACGUGAGAUCAGUAAGCAAGGAAGAGACAAGUCAGAUAUGUUAGAUUUAAGUUUUCUACCUAAAUUAAUUAUUAUUUAAUUUAUUUUAUCAUAUUGCAUGUGAGUUUGUGACUGAUGUGUUUUGAUUUUAAAUGUUGUAGGAUUUGUUUGACCUAGAUUAUAUGCCAAAAGUUACAGAGGAAGGGGAAUCAGUCUUGGAUAUAUAUCUCACUGAAACGAAGCUAGAGAUUAAAAAUCACCCAAAGAUGUGUGUCUUGCAAUAUUGGAAAGAUAAUAUAAAUUAUGUUGGAGCUUUGGGUUAUAUGGCAUACGACAUACUAAGCAUUCCUAUAACUACUGUGGUGUCAGAAUCAUCAUUCAGUAUUGGUUCCCAUGUUUUAAAUAAGUAUCGUAGUCGUCUUCUUCCUAUAAACACGUCCAGUCUCUGCUUUGUACCCGAUCUUGGUUGUUUGGCUUUACAACAGACGACAAUGGAUGUUCUUAUUAUAAUUAUGAUUAUUCAUCAAUGGUUUUUGCUAGCCUAUGUCUUAGCAUGAACUGUAUAUACAAGUUUUAAUUCUUUAAAUUUACUUGCAGAUGAAGACGAUGAAGAUGUUGCUCUUGAAUCAUCUCAAGAACAAAACUCUCACCUGGAAUAGUUUUUUUUUUAUCAUUCUAUUAUUUUGAAUUAAUUUUAAUUUAAGUUUUAAGUUUGAGUAGUUGGUUUUAUUUCCGGUUUGAGAACUAAAAUUUAUUUUAUUUCGAUUGAGUUUUAAUGUUUAAUUUUUACAUUAUGUUAUCGGUUUUAUUAUGAGUUUUUUUUAAUAAAGUUUGAAUUUUGUUAUUAUAAUAUUUCUUUAUAUUAGCUCGCGAGUUUGCUCAUUUAACUCGUGAUCAACAUGAUUUGAGUUCAAGUUUACAUAUUGAAGCUCAUAUAAUAAAUGAGCUAAGCUGAGCUGGCUCAUGAAACAUUCAAGCUUGUCAUGAUAUUAGCCGAGCUGAGCGAGCUGGCUCAUUUUGACACGCCAACUUAUACCGCUGGAAGUGCUCCCAAUCCUCGUAGAAAAUUUCAGCAUUCUUCUAAGUAAACCCAAAACGAGUUCCUAAAACACAUCAAAUGAAACAUACAGUACAUUCUUUAAUAACUUUAAAAUUACCCAAGCUUUUGUUUGGCUAUUGUACAUGACUCACUAAUGGUGAAAAUUAUAGUGAUGCAUAUAACUCACUAUGUAUAUGACUCACUAUGGGACAUUAACUGAUGUCAUAGAACUUGAGUAUGAGAGGAUUGUCAAUUUGAAAAUCACACUUUUUAAGUGCAAGUGGUAUGACCCUGUUAUCGGUAGAGACACUCGAAGGAGCAAUGGUGGCGUUGUAGACGUAAUUUCAUCACUAAAGUACAAUAAAUACGAACCAUUUAUUCUAAGUACGUACGUAUAAAAUUUACAUAUUAAUAAUAUAUACAUAUACAAUGUAUAUAUAUGUCUAACAAAUUCUCUAUGUUGAUAUAUAAAUAUGCAACAGCCUCUCAAGUGCAUCAAGUUUGUUAUAUCCCGUACCCAUACAUAAAAAACCGAAAAUUGUGGCUCAAUGUUCUUAAAGAUAAUCCAAGGGGAAACAUUUUUGGAGAAUAUGAAAACAAAGAACCGACUCUAUUGCAAAAAGAAAAUUAUGAUGUUGUAUUGAUGACUACAAUGGAAGACCUCGAAGUUGACAAUUUGGAUGUGGGAGUAAAUGCAAUAAAUCUUGAUUAUGAUAUCGCAAAUGCGGAACUUGAAGAUGAAUUUCGGUGUAAUUUAUCAUUUUCUGAUGAUGAACAACCAGAUGAUGAUGAACUCUUUUAUAGUUGGUCCUAAUAAAAUAUGUAAUAUAAUGCAAUAAUAUAUAUGCAAUAAAUAUGUGAUACUUUAAUCGAAAAACCAAAUUUAUGUCUAAUUUAAACCGAGAAACCAAACAAAAUUGUAAAGAUUUGCUCUAAUUAAACCGGUUAAUUGAACCAAUUAGUUUCCCAUAAGGCGACUAAUAAGUGACUAAUUACCGAAUACUUCGACAACUAAUGGGCUUAUGUAAACCGAACAACCCCUUGUCCGUUAUUGAAAUCGGCCCAGUUAAAUAGAAAGCUCAAUAACGGAUACUAACCCUAAACGACGAAACCAUUCACUUCUUCUUCUUCGAUCUUCAACCCUAACCUCUGUGUUCUCUCUUUUUCUUCGAUCUUUCAUCCUCUUCUUCUUCCAUCUCUGAUCUCUUUCUUUUUCAAACUAUAUUUUUCAGACACCUUCAAUUAUUGUAACCCUCACACACUUUUAUAAAUUACUGAAAGAGAUGCAUAAUUAUUUCCAUAAAUACUUAGUGAGUCACUCAUCCCAACUACUGGGCUAUACAUACAAGCAACAUCAAAACAUAUUCAGGCAAUAUAUCACAACACAAUGUAACAAAAUAACUACACUCAGCCGCUACUGAGAACUGGUGUCGACACCCGCACCUAGAAACCCAAACCCUCGAGCGACACCGAGACCCUAACAUCACUCCAGUAGCUUCUCAUCAAUGGAUCUCCUUCUCCUUUUCCUCCUAGGCCGAAUGAGACUUUCCCAUGGGACGUAUUGAGGCACCACAAUGUAAAAAAAAGCAUACAAGCAAUGAAUCUGUCCUUCUCUAAACUAGAUCCACCAAGAACAACCCUCAAAUUCUCCAAAAACACUAUAAAAGAAGGAUGAAUCUCACACUCUCUGAUCUUUCUCUCUAUUCUUUAGAAGCGACAAAUGAUUAAACAAUGAUGAAAACGGCGUCCUUUACCCCUAAGAUGACUUAGGUUUCCCCAACCCGAUCCCCUAUCGAACCAACGAUUUAAAAAUUUAACCGUCGAACCAAAAAUUAAUGGGUGUCGAUCGAUACCGCCCUAAAAAAAACACGAGGUUUACAAAAAGUGACUAAGAAGUUACCAUUUACCAAUGAAGCAAUAAAGUAAGUAAUUCCAUUCAAAGACGUACUAGUAUUUGAAUGUGUGUACCAGUUGAGAGAUGUAUACUCGAGAACCCUCCAUGAAUCAGAGUUAAAUCAGGAAAAACAGCCUAUUCCCCCGUGAACUUAGUUGUUUUAUUGUAUUCACACACAGAACUUUGAGUCGUGCUUAUAACAACACGAACACAGCUAAAAUUUGAAUUUCCUACAUGAACAAUGCAUAAACAAUCAAAAUCAACAAAUCGACAAACGGUGUUACUCUUCCGUUAACAAAUAUUUACUAGGAUGUCAUAUUAUGCCACGUAAUAUCACCAAGCGACGUCGGUUAUGUCAUUUUUUAAUAAACAAAAAAACAUAAGUCAUAAUAAUAAGAAUCCUAGUUUUGAACCCUGGGCAUUAUAACAAAAAUAACUCCACUUAACCAACUAACCCAACAACAAUUCUUUGUUAAUUAUGCAUUUGUAGUUAUAUAUAUCACAAUAAAUUUAAAGUAAUAAAGAUGUUUUCUCUCUCGUUGUUGUCUCUUAUCCAUUUUCCUUUAAUGUAUUUCUCCAUUUAUUAUAACAACGCAAUAAGUUCCAAGUUUCUCCCAUAUUUUACUGUUUCCAUUUUUUUGAUUUGAUUCAGUUCAACAGUUUUUUCUUUUGGAUCGAUUUCUUUAGAUUUUAUAGGCAGAUUCUGAAUCAUGUACAUUUUGGGUCUGAUGUUUUAAUUGAUAGAUUGAUUUGAAUUCGAUCAGAUUUUGGGUAAUAUCAUAGAAGAGGAUGGAGAAGAGAAAUUGUUCAUAAAAUAAUAUUUGCUAAAGUCAGUCUAUUUUCUUCAUUGUGAUUCAUGGAACUGAACUGUGUACAGCUAAAAAUGGACAAGCAAAAGAAAGAAGAGAAAAAGAGUUUAUUGUUAUUUUUGAUUUAUUUCGUUACCUAUAUAUAUUAAUUCUGUAGUGAAAUCCUGAAUUCGUAAUAUUUUUUUUCAUAAUUUUUUUUUUGUUUUUUAGAAGUAAGAUAAAGUGAUUUCGUUUUGUGGCAUGGUGUGGCAUCUUAAUCAGCAUUUGAAAACGGAACAGUAACACUGUUUGUCGAGUUGAUGGUUUUCAUUGAAUAUGAAUUGUUCAUGUAUGAAAUUCAAAUUGUUGUUAUAAGCACGACACAAAGUUCUGUAUAUGAAUACGAUAAAGCAACUAAGUUUAAGGGGGGGGGGGGAAUAGGUCGUUUUCCCUACAAAUCACCACAUGAUAUUUCCUUGUGUUUUGACCUCUAUCACACAGUUCCAACAAUCACUUUUCAGAAGGUCACCCAUCAUUUGACUACAACAGCAUAAACACGCUUAACUAUGGAGUUCUCUCAGGACCUUUGACCGAAAAAUAAGUGCAUUUUGGUGACAUAAGUGGUCAAAUCAAUUCAUUUAAACCUCUCGAGCAAACUGGGGUCUCACAAUUAAUUGAAAAGACCCACCCUUUUUUGUUUUACUAAUUAAAUUAGACUAAACCAAUAAAUCCAAUUAAACCAAUCUAAUUCCAAUUACCAACUGAUCCAGCGGAAGAAAAAACCAAAAACCAAUCCAACAAACCUAUAUCAUGAAACCAACCAAUAUCCAUCAAUUAUCUAAAUAAACCAUAAUGCAUAGCGGAAACAACAAAACCAACCCUAAUUAAUCAUAAUAAUUAUUAACCAAUCAUUUCAUCUCCACAAUUUAUACAGCAUAACAUAACCAUAAACACAACAAACGAAACCCAAGAUCAUCCUCCUCAUCAUGAUUCCACGUCACACUUUACCUGCACCACAAAUACAAUAAUAUGUGUGAGUAUUAUCACAAAUACUCAGUGAAGUGAUCCUCCCAUCUGUUGUGUUAUACACACAAGAAAUUAAGGUCAUGAUCACACAUCAAUAAUACUAAAAACAGCCAACCUAGCCAAAUUAAAACACAAAUUGAGCUCACAGAAAACUUGUGUCGACCGACACCACCACCCGACGGUGCCACAAAACUGCACUACGAACAACCGUCUAGUGUUGGUAACCCUAUAUUUUUAUACUCUUAAGCAUAUGUUUUGUGCAUUAUUUGCCUGACUAUGUCUCUAAUUCUUAGGGUUUCUAGUCCCUUUGCAUUAUAUUUCGCAUCUAGGAUCUUUAGCAUAGGGAUUUGCAUAUCAUCUGCAUUUUAGAGCAAAAACCGGUACACUCGGACACUGCAAAGCAUGGACCCGAUCGAGUGUGUGCAGCCCGACCAAGCGAGCACGAUUGAGCACCCGGACUCACAAGAGGAAGCUGAACACGGACGAGCCGAGAGAGGACCCGAACGAGCCCAACAAGCACCCGACCGAGCUCUCUUUAAACCGAUUUUGUAAUUUGUCUUUUUGUGUUUUAGGGCUUCAUGCCCUUAGUAUAAAUAGACCCCUUGGGUCAUUAAGCUAAAAACGAGUUUUCAUUAGGGUUUUUCUCUGUAGCCACCAAACAUUUCCAGAAACUUGUAAUCUUUAUAUCUUUUGAUCUACUGAGAAUUUGGAGUUGUUUCUUUACAAUAACUUGCUCCUUAGAUCAUUAUCUAUCUAGUUAUGCAAGAUUCAAAGAUUUCUGGGUUUGUGUUCUUCAUGAUGAACUCCAGAUCUGAGUAGUCUUUCUAGGGUUUAUAGGAUGGGUUAGGUGAUGAGGAAUCUUAGUUUCUAGGGUUGCUUAAGUAUAGAUUUAGGUAGAUACCUUAUGGAUUAGGAGAUCUUAAUGCUAUCUUAGCAUUAACCAUGUGGGAUUAGAUCUUAGACAUUCCAGCACUCAAAAAGUGUUCAAAUGGAAUGUCUGACCAACUAAUGCCAGAGAUCUAUUUACUUACCCAAGAGAUUGGUUGUUAAGGAGUAGAUUGACAUUACUGAGCUUGUUCUUUAUGCCUAUUUAUAGUAUGUUUCAUCAAUGAAAGUUGAGAUUAGGAAGUGCUAUAGAUCUGAUAAUCUUUGCCAAGAGAUUGGACUGAUUAGGUUAAGUGGUUCAUUGUCUAGGAUUAGAUCUAUCUGAGCAUGUUAAGCAUCCCAAAGAUACUAAGAGGAUUCAUCACCCCAUUAGCCCAUCCUUAAGACCCUUUGUUUAUCUGAUUGAUUAUCUGCUUUUACUUACUGCUUUCAUUAUUGCUUCUUUAAGUUUACUUUAUUGCAUUAGAGUUUAUUAAACCAACCCUUGAAUUACUUGGCUUGACUUGAUUAGAUCUGUUAUAUCUUGAUUGUUUACGAUACAUCCAUCUGGAUCGAUACCUCUUAUGCUACAUCGCAAAGGGGAAUUGAACUCCAAGGUUACAAAAAUACAUGUUUCAAGUGUCCAUCAACACGUUUUUGGUAUCGAUCGACACCUACAACCCUGGAACAUAUCUAACGACGAUCUCAUCACCAGAAAAUCCUAAAAUCAUCUCCCACGCCAGCACAGCCACACUGGGUCACACAAACACUAGAAACAUAAAACAACAAUGAACAUCAAUUAAACACAAAUUACACAAUCUUAAUGCUUAGAUAAGCCAUGGUCACACACACCUUAAUAUGGAACGAACAAUGACGAAAACAACACAAUCAGAAGCCUUACAAAAACCCAAAACAAUCAAAAACCUUACAAAAACCCUUUUUAUUUACAAAAACCCUUUUCACUCUUUGGAAUGUCAAAAGCGGCUAAAAACACAUUCCAAAGUUGACUCUCCUCUUUUAUUUCCGAUCCCUAGGGUUAACGAACCCAUACCAAAUAGAUUUCGAAAAAUAAAACAAACUGGUUAAACAAAAAAAUGUUGAUCGACACCACCCAUUUUCCCCAAACACGGGUGUGACAGUGAAUAUGUUCUUUCUCAAUAAAGUAGAUCGUACAUAUUUCAGAGAUGUAGUGUCGACCCUAGAAAGUAUUUCUUCUACUAAUACCUCCGGAAGAUCAAACAUUAUCGUUAUUGUUUCCCUUGUGAUCUCUUUUCGAAUACGAAAACAACUCAAAAGAAAUGUAAGUUUUGAUUAGGGUUAACCCAUGACAUGAACACUUCUUUAGUUUGUGUUUGCUACUAAUAAUUGGCAAUCUAAAAACCGGAGAACCCAUAAAAAUCUCGCUAUUAACCCGAGACCAGGUGAACCGAUUGAAUCGGCCGAGUUACGGUUCACAAAAAGUUAUUUGAUUUUUGAAGUAUAGUAUAUAAUUAUAGUUAUUUUUGGAAGUUAUUUUUAAAUUUUUUAAUUAUAGGUAUAUUGUCUCUCUUUGAUGAUAAUGGCAUUGAGUAGUUCUCGGAGGGUUCGAAAGGUGAAGUGGCAGUUGUAUACUUCCGUAAAAUGUUCUCUACUUCUAACCCAAAUGGUAUUGGUGAAGCUUUGGCCGGGCUGAAUGCGCGUGUUACUGAUGAUAUGAAUAGAGAACUAAUACGGCCAGUAACGGAUAGUGAGAUCAAGAAUGCCGUUGUUAGUAUUAAAGGAGACCGUACUCCUGGAGCACAUGGCAUGUCUGCUCAUUUUAUCAAUCUUAUUGGGACAUUGUUGGACCUUAGGUUGUUAAGGAGGUUAAACAAAAAAUUUUCAAUCGGGUACAUUUCCAGUGGAAUGGAAUUGUAUUCAGAUUUGCUUGAUCCCAAGGAAACAAAACCCCUCAAGAAUGACAGAUUUAAGGCAAAUUAGUUUGUGCUCGGUGAUACACAAGAUUUUUUCGAAGGGUUUAUGCCAACGGUUGAAGAGGUUUCUCCCAAGGAUUAUAUCUGAUACACAAGGUGCUUUUGUGUUCAGAUGGCUUAUCUAGGAUAACAUGUUGUUGGCUCAUGAGCUGGUUCAUGCUCUAAACUCAAAAUGUUAACUUUGAUGAAGAGUUCAAAGCUAUCAAACCGGAUAUGUCUAAAGCGUAUGAUCAGGUAGAAUAGAAUUUCCUUGAAGAACUACUGAUCUGCCUAGGCUUUGACAUAAAAUGGGUUCAAUGGAUAAUGGUUUGUGUGAACACUGUGUCGUUCUUUGUUUUAAUCAAUGGAAUGGAUUAUAGGUUCAUUAAACCAGAACGUGGAAUACAACAAGGAGAUCCAUUGUUACCAUUUCUAUUCACUCUCUGUGCGGAAGAAUUAGUCCAUGUGAUGAAUUGAGCUGAUCAAGAAGGGAGGCUUACGGCUAUGCGCCUAACACCGAAAUGCCCAUCUAUUCAACACCUCCUCUCUGCCGAUGAUUGUCUCUUUUUAUGUCUCAAAGAAUGAGGUAAAUUUUUGUAUUUUCUAGAGGUAUAUGGUAUCAGGCCAAGUGAUUAAUUUUCAAAAGUCGUGUAUCACUUUUGGGAAAAAGAUGGAUCCUUACAUGAGAAGGAUAAUAAGUUCUUUCACUGGGAUAGAACAAGUUAGAGGUUCUGGGAAGUAUCUUGGGUUACCGGAAUACUUCACUGGAUCUAAGAGAGAGCUGUUAGCUUCCCUUAACGACCGUUUGGACUCAAGAUUGAAAGGCUGGUAUGAGAAGACACUUUCUCGGGGUGGGAAGCCGGUUUUAUUAAAUUCAGUUGCAUUAUCAAUGCCGAUUUAUGCUAUGACGUGCUUUAAACUAACUAAGCACCAAUUUAAGAAGCUCACAAGUGCUAUGGCUAGUUUUUGGUGGAACGCAACAGAAGAUAAACAGAAAAUGCACUGGGUAGCAUGGGAGAAAGUUUGUAAGCUGAAAUCACAAGGAGGGUGGGGAUUCCGGGAUAUUGGCCGCUUUAAUCAAGCCCUACUUGCUAAGCAAGCUUGGCGGUUAUUAGACUCUCCUAACUCGCUUCUAGAUAGAGUGUAUAAGUCUCGUUAUUUUCCUCCAACAGGCUUGAUAGAAGUUGUAAUCGGAACUAGACCAUCUUAUGCUUGGCGCAGUAUCAUGUUUGGUCGUGAACUGUUUGACAAAGGACUCAUGAAGACGAUUUGUGAUGGCUGUUCUACAAGGGUUUUGCUAGAUAAAUGGGUUUUUGAUGAGCAACCAAGACGGCCAAUGAAUAAGAAUAGACUAUAUGAGCUGAAUCUUCUUGUCUCCGCCUUUAUAAGACCACAAGGGGACUGGAAUAUCAGGUCUUCCUUUACCGAGUCAUGGGUUUAUGGCUGCCACUGAGGAGAAUAUUGAUUACAUGUUAAAUCUUGUAUUCCGAGCAGAUUUGGCUCCUCAAAUGCGUCAUGUCAUCCCUUGGAUCUUUUGGGAGAUUUGGAAAGGAAGAAAUGCAGCCAUUUUCACUGGUAAAGCGCCACAUUAUAAUAUUGUUCUAGCAGGUGCUUUGUCGGAUAUGGAGGAGUGGAUGUGCCAGCAGAGUUUGCAGGAUCUUGAAGCAUGGCGAUGCAUUGAUUCUUCUCCUUUGCGGACACGGCGAUGGAGUAGACCAGCUAAGAAUAUGUUAAAAUAUAAUAUCCAUGCUUCUUGGAGAAGCCUAUCAUCUUUUUGUGGUGGAGCUUGGUUACUUUGCGAUUCUAAUGGGGAUGUCUUGUUUCAUGCUCGUGAUUAGGCCUGGGCAAAAUACCCGAACCCGAAUACCCGAACCGAACCCGACCUGUAAUACCCGAACCCGUUUUACUUUGGUUCUUAAGAAAUACCCGAUCCGUUUUUAUUCUCAAUACCCAAUAGGUAUCGGGUAUUACCUGAACCGAACCCGCAUACCCGUGGGUACUUUUAAGUACUCGAACACAUUAUGUAAUAUUAGGUUUCCUUACCUGUAAUAGCCUGUUGAACUUCCCAUUUUUUACCCGAUUUUAAUACCGAGUCUCAAACUGGAUCGACAAAACCUACCUCCGCUGCUAGCCUCCUCUCUAGGUUCUCUUUGUUUAGAGACAUCUAGAGUUCAAUCAACUGUAAGUUUCAUUCUCCUCCUUAGUACUGGUUUGAUUUCGAUGAGUGCUUCCUUCUUUUGCAUAUCUCUAUUAAUCGAAUCAAAAGUAACUAUAUUUGUAUUGCUAUUUCGAUUUCUUACUUGUAUUGUUAUUUUGAUUUCUUACUUGGAAACAUUAGUGAUUGAAAAUUGAAUUUAUGCAUCACUGUUUCAGUUUCAGAAUGGAUUUAACCAUGAAAACACAAAUUCUUGUUAUCUCUGCAAAAGAAUCCACAAUUGGUUUGAACCUGCAAUUUUUUUAUUUUGGAAAAAAUUUGCAGCCUUGUUAGCAUCGAGACUUAAUAUCUCUUGCUAUUAUUUUUGCAAACCAAAAAUAUUAUUUUGAAUUUAGCAUCAUGACCUACAGUCUUUUGUUCAUGCAAAACAUGUAAUAUUAUUUUUGCAAAUCAAAGUAAUGUACAAUACUUGUGGUCUCUUUGCUUUAAGUCACGUAAUCGUAAUCGUAAAGCAUAAUCAUAACUCUAGCACUAUGACAUAGAGACUUGAGUGUCUACGUAGUUAUUCUUUGCAAAUUGGAUUAAUAUGAACCUGUAAUUUUGUAAUUCACAUCUGUAUGUUUUUUUAUUUUUGAUUCACAUCUGCUUUUUGAAAUGUUGUAGAUGGAUUCUUUAGAAAAUCCAGAAGUCAAUGAUGAUAACACUCAAGGAGGUGAGAAAUUUAAAGGGAAGAGGAAAGAAGCUCCAUGAGAUAAUGAUGGUAGUGAUAAAGUAAAGAAGACAUAUGCUCAAAGGUCAUGGGUGUGGAAUCAUUUCACGAGACAAGUGAAGGAUCCAGAUAUGGGAGAUUGUCACCACUGUAAGAGAUCCUUUGUAUGUCCAACUAAAAAAGGGACCUCAAACUUGAAGAAGCAUUUGGAGAUCUGUAAGCCGUACAAGGCAUGGGCUGAACGUGAAACUGAAACUGUUAUUAAUCAAGAUGGAAUGUUGCAGGAUGCAAGAGUAACAGAGAGUGUCUCUAGAGAUGCUUCAAAUGAAUUGCUUGUUUUGGCUGGUUUGCCACUUGCAUUUAUUGAGUGCAUGGCAUAGAGACAGUUAUGCAGCAGAUGUAAUCUAUUCAAGCCUCAUUCAAGAAGAACAGCUACUAGAGAUAUAGUUCAGAUGUAUGUCGCAAGGAAAGCUUCUUUGAAGGAGUGGAUAUCUUCUCAGCAGCAUCGAGUGUCUCUUACUACUGACAUAUGGACUGCUAAUGUUACAAAAGCUAGCUACAUGGUGAUCACUGUGCAUUUUGUAGAUGCAGAUUGGCGCUUAAGGAAGUUGAUACUUGGAUUUAAGCACAUCACGGAUCAUAAGAGCAACAUGAUAUCAAAGGUUUUACUUGACUGUCUAGCAGAAUGGGGCAUAGAGAAGUUAUUCACCAUCACAGUUGACAAUGCAACUGCCAACAGUAUUGGACUAAAGAAGUUCAUUGAUGAGUUUAAGUUACUGAGGCAUGAUUCUUUAGUGUUAGGUGGGUAUUACAUGCACAUGAGGUGUUGUGCUCAUAUAAUCAACUUGAUUGUCCAGGAUGGUUUGACUAAAUUGGGUCGUAAUAUAACUGUUGUUCGCAAUGGAGUGCAGUAUGUGAGGUUUUCGACUUCGAGAUGUGACACAUUUGAGCUAAAGGUUGUGUCAGGUAAGAUGACUAGGGGAGUUUGCCUAUGGAUACCAAGACAAGGUGGAGUUCAACAUACUUGAUGUUAACAAGAGCCAUGAAGUUUAAGUUGGCAUUCCAGAAGAUGGAGGAUGAAGACAAGUUAUACAAUGACUACUUCAUGGAAUUAAAAAAUGGGGCGAAGCAAAAAGGACCGCCUACUUACAGUAAUUGGAGGGCGAUAGAGAGGUUUGUGAAGUUUCUUGGUUUAUUCUAUACUGCUACUUUGGUUGUCUCAGCUUCAACCAAGGGUUGUUCAUACAAGUGUUAUGGUGAAAUUGUCACUAUAGAGAAGAAUUUGACAAAUAUGAGCACUAGUUAUGACAAAGAACUAAGCAAAAUGCAUGUUGAGAUGAGAGAGAAGUUUAGUAAAUACUGGGAAGGGAUCAAGAAUAUUAACAAGAUGCUGAUUGUUGCUAGUGUGUUUGACCCGAGACAGAAAAUGCAGUUUGCUACGAUGUGCUUUGAGAAACUCUAUGGUAAAGAUAGUAAAGACGCUAAGGAUAUGUGCACAUCUGUUUUAAACCUCAUGAAGGAUAUGCUCGUGGAGUACACUUACUACAACAAAGGAUCAAGCACACAAUCAUCUCAAUCAAAUCCAUCUUCUAGUACUGCACAAGAUCAAUUUAUAUUUGAUUCACUUUCGAGCGACAUUGCAGAAGAUGUUGUCCCUGAGUUUGAAAGGAUGGACGACGCUUACAGUGACUUGGUAUCAAGUAAAGGAGGUGGUGAGAUGAAGGAUGAAUUAGAUAUUUAUCUCAAGUAUGAAACAGAGACUCCUAAAACUCUUCCUGGAAGUGAAUGGGAUGUUCUAUCUUGGUGGAGACUCAAUAGUCAGAAGUUCCCUAUUUUAUCUAAAAUUGCAAAGGAUUUUCUUGCAAUGCAAGUUUCGUCUGUUGCAUCUGAAGAGGCGUUCAACAAUAGUGGUCGUAUCCUUUCCGCGUAUAGGAGUUGUUUAAGUCACUACAUAGUGGAGGUGUUAAUUUGCACUAAGCAGUGGAUAAAACAAGAUAUGAAGAUUAAUGAUAAGGAUUGUCACUCUAACUCACAAAUACUUGCUGAUAUUGAACUGUUUGAUAAUCUUCAAAGAGGUAAGUUCUAGUGUUUAAUAUUUCUGGUUAACUUUGAAGUUGUUUGCUUUUUUUUUGAAAAAUCUUUGUUGUUGUUUUUUUGUAGAGUUUCUAAAUGAAAACAACCAGUAAAAGAAGACUCAUCAAGAACCAUCAUACUUCUUUUUUUUGGUAAGAGAGGGGAGGCUAUUAAACAGAAACUGGAAAAAAAAAUUACACUCUAACCCGACGUGGGUACGCAGACCCAUUAACAUCGUCCAACAAAUUCGAAUUCAGCUCACUCGGGCAAGUACUUAAACUGUGAAAACCAAACGGCAAAGAAAAGGCAUGGUUAGCUAAACCAUCGGUAAGACGGUUAGCCUCCCUAUAAACAUGAGAAAAACGCACUGACCAGUCCCUUGAAAUGAAGCCAUAGCACAAACGUACUAGGAAGGAAAGCGGAUGCGUAUCACAAAUCACUUUCCUUAAGUAUCCUACCACCAUCUCCGAAUCAAUCUCCACCUCCACACAAGCGACCUGCCUAUCCCAAGCAAUACAUAGGCCAUAAUACACUCCCCAAAGCUCUGCUAAAGGCGCUGAAAAUAUCCCAAUAUUAAGAGCAAAUCCGAAGCACCAAUUGCCAUCUCCAUCCCUGAGAACCCCACCAGUAGUUGCUAAUCCCGGAUUCCCUCUAGACGCACCAUCCGUGUUCGGUUUCAUCCAUCCUAUAGAUGGCAACGUCCAUGCGAUGAGUCUCUCAACCCGCAUAUUGGUAUCCGAUUGAAUGCGCUAACCAUGCCUCUCUAGCCAUAUCUUUAACAAACUGAACUCUAUCUCUGUAUUUCCUGUUUUCCCCAAAAACAUUACCGCACCUUCACUUCCAACCCCACCAAACUGUCACAGCAAAUAGAGUUGCCCAUUUAAUGUUCCCCACAACCUUCCUGCUUCCCAAGUUAUGAAAACCCCAUUCCAGAAGAGACUGUGAAAAGAAAUCCGGCUUAUCCCGUAAAGGAACCAGUCGCUGCCAAACUCCCAUCAUUGCCGGACAGUCCCUUAAAAUGUGUAUUAUCGUUUCCUCACCCCCUUUACAAAUGGAGCAUAUCCAUGUAUCGCUUAAAUGCCGUCGAUAUCUCUCCAUGUUCGUCAUAAUAGCUUGAUUAGCUACCAGCCAUAAGAAGCAACACACCUGUUCCGGUGCGAUCACAGCCCAAAGUCUUGUAUAGAACUUAUCCAACUGAACUCGCGUGGCAUGGUCCUUAGUUAGCAGCGCAUAGGCUGAUUUACCAAGAAUGACCCGUCGGCACUCCCUGUCCAUGAUAAUCUAUCUUUAGUGCCUGUAAACACGUCAAUCACUACAGUCGCAAGAUGUAAAUGACCAAAUCCAGAGAGAAAAGGCAGAAUACGGCUGAGAUCCCAUUCUAUACCAAUCCUCCAAACCUUAGCAGCUUUAAUAAUUUUAUAACCAAGAGGUAAAGUCCCUGUAGCAUACUCUUCGAGUGGUCUAUCCAAAACCCAUUUAUCUUUCCAGAACCUAAUCUUCUGACCAUCUCCAAUUACCCAACCGAUACCUAAGGGAAUCGCUUCCCUCAUCCCCACUACUAUACUCCGCCAAGUUGAAGACCAAGUUCCUUUCACAGUCAACCAGAGACGAUCAUGAGCAUCUCCUACUUUAUAUUUCCCUCGAAGAACCCGAGCCUAAAGCCUGUCAUUAUCAUUCAACAACCGCCAUCCAACUUUUGCUAAAAGUGCUAUGUUCAUCUCUUUACUUAAUCUGAUACCCAGCCCCCCUUCCUGUUUGGGCUUACAGACUUUAUCCCAAGCCACAAGAUACUGCUUCUUCUUUACAUCCGUACUCCCCCACAGGAAACUCCUUGAAAUUAUGUCUAGAAGUUUCAGUGUUGCAGUUGGGAGCAUAAUCGUGGUCAUAGAAUUACUUUGCAAUGAAGAUAGUACUGCCUUGGUAAGCGUAAGGCGCCCCGCAAAGCUUAAGAAUCUCCCUUUCCAACCCGAUAACCUUGAAUUCACUCUCUCCACAAUUUCUCCGAACGUCUCUUUAUUGAUUCUUUUAUGCAGUACAAGCAUCCCCAAUAAUUACCAAGCUCUUUAGUCGCUUUAAUCCCACUCUCGACACUGAUUAAAGUUUCCAACUCUCUACUCACAUUAUUAGAGAAGAAGAUUUUGGAAUUAUCCAAACUAACCUUCUGACCCGAAGCUGCGCAAAACGUCUCAGGUACUCUCCUAAUGAUACGAACCUGAGCCACGGACGCCUCAGCAAAGAGAAUGGGAUCAUCAGCAAAACACAUAUGUGACAGAUGCGGUCCUCUCUUUGACAGCUUAAUUGGUUUCCAUUCCUUAGACGCUAUGGACAACUCAAUUUGGUGACAUAGCCUUUCAAUGCAGAGCACGAAAAGAUAUGGUGACAGUGGAUCACCUUGUCUCAGUCCCCUAGCCUGUCUAAACGCCUCAGUCUUUUGCCCAUUCCAUAAAAGACUCAUAGAAGGCCCCGACACACACCUCAUUAUUCAAUUUAUCCAACUCUCUGGUAGUCCCGCAGCAAUUAGGGUGUCCUCAAGAAAAUCCCACCUAACACGAUCAUAGGCUUUCUCCAAAUCAAGUUUCAAGAGCAUCCAACCUUUCUUCCCUUUCUUCCUCCUCAUGGAGUGAACUGCCUCUUGAACAAUGAUGACAUUAUCCGUGCUCAACCAUCCGGGGAUAAAGCUAGUUUGAGCUGGCCCUAUCAGUUUAGUGAUCACCUUAUUUAACCGCACCACCAUAGUUUUAGUAAUAGUCUUAAACAAGACAUUACAUAAACUUAUCGGUCUAAACUGUGUAAUUCUCUCUGGCUUCAAAACUUUAGGGAUUAGAACCACAAGAGCAUCAUUAGAUCCAUUCGGCAGCAUACCCGUCUCAAAAAAAUCCAGCACAAAACGAGUAACAGACUCUCCAACAACGUCCCAACAUUGUUGAUAAAAAAUUGGCUGAAAACCAUCAGGCCCUGGAGCUUUAAACUUACCCAUACUCCGAACAGCACUUUCCACUUCUACUACUAGAAAAGGUCUGAGUAGCUCUGUUAUCGCAGGUUGACUCAGUAUAGGGAACCCCACAUGUGAAAGCUUCAGCGGUACCUGCUGUACAUCCUCCAUGGAGUAUAAACGAGUGAAGUACUCGACUGCGAACUUCUUCAAUUGCGCUGAGUUAGAAACCCAUCUCUCAUCAUUGUCUCUUAACAUCUCAAUUAUAUUCCUCCUCCUCCGAAUGACUGUGGUUGUAUGAAAGUACUUGGUGUUUCUAUCACCCAAAGCAAUGAUCUCCUCUCUUGAUUUCUGGAACCAAAUAAUUUCCUCUUGUUCUAACACUCUAUCAAACUCCUUUAAUAGCUCAGCCUAUUGAUCUAACAAACCAUCUGUUUGAUCCCUCUCAAUUAAUUCUUGAACAGCUCUAAUACCUGAAAUGAGCUUCUCUUUACGACGUUGAACAUCCCCGAACACCUCCUUGUUCCAUCGCUUUAGCUUGAGUCUCAAAAUAUUCAAAGCCUCUGGUGUUCUCAACUCUCCAUUCCAAGAAGCUGCUAGAAUAUCUUGAAAACCAGUGUGAGUUAACCAUGCUGCCUCGAACCUGAACAGCCUCCUCGUCGGGUCUCCUUUCCCCUCAGGGCUGAGCUGAAGGUAAAGUGGUGCAUGAUCCGAUUCCAAGAACGGUAAAUGCGCCACUGCCGCCUCUUGCCAUUUGAGCCUUGCCUGAGCACAGCAGAGAAUUCGAUCCAGUCUCUUUGCCACGAAAGUAUUCACCACACGUCCUCUCUUCCAUGUAUACUUACUCCCCCGAAAGCCAAGAUCUAUUAACGCGAGUUCAUGAAUCCAUUCUCCAAAUGCUAUCGAAUCCGAAGACAGUCGACCUUUCCCACCUGUUCGUUCAUCAACCUGCACUAUAGUAUUAAAAUCCCCACCAAUAACCAAAGGGCCAUCAAGAUUGUUCACCGAAUCCUUAAGAAGGCUCCACAACCCACUUCGCCGGCUAACUGUUGGGGCAGCAUAGACAGCAACCAAAUGCAGAAUCUCCGAACCAUUCUCCACCCUUGCAUGAACAAACUGCUCUGAUGACUUCACAAUCGUCACGACUCCCACACUCGAUCUCCAGAGUAGCCAAAUACCACCGCUCUGGCCAUUCGCAUCCACACGAAAGGAAUUUUCAAAUCCCAAGCCUUGGCAAAUCUGCUGAGCAAGAUCACCUCCUGCGUGAGUAUCAAAUAACGCUAAAACAUCCGUCUUAUAUCGCUUCAAUAUGUAUCGAAUCGAUCGUCUGAAGUUGGGUUUGUUACCCCCCGGCCAUUCCAGAAUAAAGCAUUCAUCAUCAAAUUAAUCCAAUCGGUAAGAAUUCUCGGGGAAAGCCGUCAAAAACUGCGCGUCUCCGUCGACAAAUCCGCCAAUCCCGACGAAGGCUCAUGAACAACCAACAAUCCACCCAAAUCCAUCUCAGCCACAUCCACAUGUGAUAUAACUUUCUGCGCCAUCGAAACCAGACCCCCUCCUCCACCAUCUGUCGCAAAGGAGUCACCGGACCGACCAUCACUAUCACUGUCCAAUCGUAAUCUCUUUCCCGACAUUGACAUUUCAACUUCUCCUCUUAUUGGGCCAAAGAUCAAUCCUCUACCGGGCUUCCUGAUCUUCGACAAUUGCGGUUUGGGCCCAUUUGUAGCCAUACCCUUUUCGGCCCAGGCCCUUUCUCAUUAGGCCCUACCCGAUCCACUCCUUUCACCGUACUAGACAUUAUAAACCGCCCGAUUCCUUUUCUUGCACUGUACUCUUUUCCUCAACCGGUUUCACCACCAAACUCUCAUUUUCCUUAUCUCCAUCCAUACAAAUAUCUACUUUCCUUAUCGAGGAAGGAAUCGUAUCCUCCUUUAAAGUACCAAAACUAUUCGCAAUCACGAUAUCUCCGGAAACUUUCCUUCCCGUAAUAUCCCGAAGAUUCCGUCCCAGAUUUUCUUGGGGCCCCCCAGCGGCGGAGAGCUCCCGACGUGUUUGGGCUUCAUUCCUCCUCCCUAAUUUCCUCACCACCGUGAAACCAUCAUCCUCAUCUUUUUCCUUAGUAACAUUGAUAGGCAUAGCUUCAGUCACCACCAAUGCCACUCUAUCCUGCUCGAUCUUUGGGCACUUAUGAACCAUAUGCCCAAAUAUUCCACAUCGUGAACAGAUAACCGUGAGACCUUCAUAUGAAACAACAUAACGUUCACCAUUAAUCACCAUUGUCCCUUUCAACGGCAUACUCAAAUCCACCUCAACACAUAUUCUAGCAAAUCUAGCUCUAUCAAUAUUUAAGGUCGGUAUGUCCACUUUCAAUGGUCUUCCCAACCCCUCAGCUAUGCUCAGCAAGAUAGUCUCAUGGUAAAAGUUGACCGGAAUAUUCGUCAACCUAACCCAAACAGGAGUUGUUACAAUAUCAUCCUGCAACAGGAGCUUUCACCAUCAGAUAAAUCCUGAAAGCUCUCCAUGGACCACCUGUCAGUGCUGCCAAAUAUUCGUCCUCUACUUCAAACCGGAUCGUGAAGAAUUGACGUGGAAGAUCAGUAACAUACAUAGCCCCCCGGGGUUUCCACAACUCACGCAGCUUCCUGCUCAACACUGUGAUUGGAACAGUUCUACCCAGAACCUUCACAAUCAUGCACAGUUUCCACAAGCCAUUCAUCACCUCUAACACCUCCUCUUCAAUCGUUACCACCGGUUCACCCGCAGCUCCAUCUGGAAACUCAACCCUAACCCUUUUUCACAAAGUCCGCCGCUAAAACCCGCUUCGGACAAGCCAUCCCUCCACCAAAACUUUUCGUCACUUUCCUUACCCAAACACCAGCAGAAUCCGGCGGAUCUCCCGCUGGUUGACUCUUUUCACCGAUAUCCAUCAUAGUCGCAUCUCUCUCUCCCAUCUACGAAGCCUACGACCAAACUCAAGAACCAUCAUACUUGGUAAUAAGGUAACUUCAUCUCUGUCAUUGUUUUUAAAAAUUGUUUAAAAUUGUUUUUAGUUUUUAAAAGGUUUGGUUUUAUGUAACAUGUCAUGAUGUAUGGAUAAUCUUGGUUAAAUGUUGCCAUCUUGGGAUGAUUCUUCUUUCUUAGUUUCUUCCAUUUAUCAACUCAAAUAUUUUCAUAAUCACUUUCAUUAGUUUAAGACUUUAAGUUAUGCUUUUGUUAGUUUGGUUUCUUAUUUUGUCAAUGACUUGUUUGAUUUUAAUCUUUGGAAUGUUCAAAACUUGGUUAAAUUUGUUUACUAGUAAUAUAUUCUUUCAAAAAUUUGUUAGUUUUGACGAAUAGUUUCGGAUUUAUGGGUACUUUGGGUAAUUUUGGGUCGGAUUUUGGUAGGUACUACUCAUACCCAAAAUAUAUUUUGGGUAAUUUUCGGAUCUCUUAAAUUAUUACCCGAAGUACAUGUACCCGAAAAAGAACCGAACCAAACCUGACCCGAAGUUUUAUACGUACCUAUUAGGUUCCUAUAUUACUAACCUCGAAAUACCCGAACCCGAAAAACCGGACCCGAUGGUUACUAAAGUGGAUCAAGUUCGACGAGGCAUGAUGAAUAUUUCCUUCCAUGUCUCUUCUUUGCAGGCAAACUCGGUGGCGAGAGAGAUAGCGGACAGUGUCACGAGAGAUGGCCGGUUAACUUCUUACUUAUCAAUGGUAGGUGCGGCGUGGUUACAUCAAAGGAUUGAACGUGAUCGAGGAUAGUGUAUCUUUGUAUGGCUGUCUCUGUUUUUGCUCUUGUUUGAUGCUCUGUUUUUUUGUAACUUUUGAUUCACAUUAAUAAGAUAAAUGAAUGACAAUUAAAAAAAAAACGGCACACAAACAUGAUUAAAAUUAGGUUUUGUGAAUUUGUGAUGUUUUAUUACUGUGAAUUAAAAUUAACAUGCUAAGUUAUUUAAUAUUUGAUAAUUCAAAAUUUUAGCAACCAAACUUAUUCAAUAUCAAAUAAAUUGAAAUUUAACAUGCUAAAUUAUUCAAUAUUCGAUCAAUUAAUAUUUAUCUCCUAUCCAGAGGUCCGUGGGUGGAGUAGUGAGAGUUUUGUCUCUGACCACCGAAUGAUAAGUUAAUAUGCUAGCUUAUUCAAUAUUCGAUAAAUUGAAAUUUAGCAUGCUAAGUUAUUCAAUAAUCAAUCAAUUAACAUUUAUCUCCUAUUCGCAAGUCACUAUUGCAUGGAUUCCUUCUUCACAAAUCUAUCAUGUGUAUUGUUGUCUUUAUAUAUGUGCUAAAAGGAAAAUAUAUUACAUAUGUGGUAAGUGUGUGCUUAAAGGAAAGAAAAAAUUAUAAAAAUAUAUUUAAGGGUAUUGUUGUCUUAUAUAUGUGUACAUAUAAGAGAAACAGUGUGUUUGAGAGAGAACUAAAUAACUGGUCAACCAUGUAUGUUUUUUUUUCAAUUUCCCAUAUUAUUAUAUCCUUUCUUUUUAAUAAAUAAAGGGGUUUUAAAUCUAGGUUCGCACAUUCCCUCAAAUCCAAAUCAUAGCAUGUUAAAUGACAUUCAAACCGGAUUAUGAACCGAAGUAGAUACUGGGCUAACUUGGUUUGAUCACAUAUCAAUUAAUUAAAAGUUAUCAAUGUUCUUUUUUAUAGAUUAUAAAAUUUUAAAAAUAUAAACAUAAAUAAAAUCUUAUCAAAUUUACUUAAUUAUAAAGAUUAACAAUAAUAAUAAAGUGAUAAAAAUCCAGUAUAAUAACUAUAUGACCAUGUGCCUAUAAAUAUUAUUUGGAUAUUUACAUAUGUUAGCACAUAAUAUAAAACUUAUCACAAUAUUUGAUAGAGUUCAUGAGCAAAGAUGAUUUGUGAAAUGUUUUCUUAAUUCAUCAAUUGUAACAGACUAUACAAUGAGUGUAUAUAUACAACAAAUGAACUAAACCGGGAAUAAGUAAAACCGGAAUUUAAAUCUAAUUAACUUAACCAAAUACAUCAAACCAGCUACUUUAAUACCCCCCCCCCCUCAAGAUGGAGCAUAGUAAAUAUUGAGAACUCCCAUCUUGUUAAGGUUUUUCUCGAAAUGGAGCUGGAUGCAAUGCCUUGGUAAGAAUGUAUGCGAGUUGAUUGUCAGUGUUGACAAACAUAGUCUUGAUAACACCAGUUUCAAUAGCCUCUCUAACUUUGUGACAAUCCAACUCUAUAUGUUUUGUUCUCUCAUGGAAAAUAGAGUUACUUGCAAUGUGAAUAGCAGCAGUGUUAUCACAAUAUAAGUAAGUUGGAAGAAUGAAUGGUACCCGAAGAACUGUGAGAAUGUAUGUGUACCAAAUCAAUUCUUUAGUAGCCAUACUCAUAGCUCGAUACUCGGACUCUGCAGAACUCAUAGAAACAACCUGCUGUUUCUUCGACUUCCAUGAGACUAAAGAUUGGCAUCUAAAGAUUGCAAAACCAGUCACUGAUCUUCUACUAUCAGGACAUGCACCCCAAUCUGCAUCAGAGAAGCCUCUUACAGAUAAAUCAUCAUCUUUACCAUAAAAUAAACCUUGACCAAUGGUGCCCUUCAGAUAACGCAAAACCUUGUGACCAACUUUGAGAUGGAGAUUAGUUGGAGUAAUGUCUGGCCUUGUGACAACCAGAUAUUGUAACUUCCCAAUUAUUCUUCUGUAUUGUUUAAUAUCCACAAGUGGUUCACCAUCAGUUGAACACAGCUUCUGAUCAGGAUUCAUUGGAAUGGGAGAUAGCUUACAAUCUGAGAAACCAGUAGCCUCCAACAAGUCAAGAACAUACUUCCUCUGUGUAAGAGAGAUCCCUUCUCCAUUCCUGGUGAUUUCAAUACCCAAGAAGAACUUAAGAGGACAUAAAUAUCUUAACUAGAAACAUGAACUUAAAUGCUCUUUGAGAAGAUAGGCCAAUGCAUCAUCAGUACUGGCAAUAAGUAUGUCAUCGACAUAAACCAAAACCACCAAGAAAUGAUCACCAAAGACUUUAAUAAAGAGAGUGUGAUCACCAUGGCAGGUUUCAAACCCAAAACCCAAUAAUGUUGUCUUGAACUUGAGAAACCAUUGUCUUGAAGCUUGUUUCAAACCAUAGAUUGACUUAUGCAACCUACAAACUAUAUUGGGAGAAACUUCAACUCCUAUGAUUUCUACAUAACCUGGUGGCAACUUCAUGUAUAUUUCCUCAUCGAGGUCACCAUUCAAGAAUGCAUUAGAUAUGUCCAAUUGAUGUAAGGACCAUUACAUCUUAGGUGCAAGAGAAAGAAUCAUUUUCACAGUAGCCAUAUUUGCUACAUGUGAGAAUGUAUCAAUAAAAUAUAUUCACUCUUGCUGAGUAUACCCUUUAGCCACCAGUCGUGCCUUAAACCUUUCAAUACUCCCAUCUGCAUAAUAUUUAAUUGUGAAACCCAUUUGCAAUCUACAACAACUUUAUCAGGGGGUAAAUCACAAGCACUCCAAGUUUCAGUCCUUAUAAAAGCAUCAAUCUUCUUUCCCAUUGCAUCAACUCAAGCCUUGUCAUGCAUAGCUUAUGAAUAUUUAAUUGGUGUUGCAGUUUUGGUAAUGAUAUUAAUGAAAGCACAUAAAGGCUGAGAAAGAUUGGAAUAAGAAAUAUAGUUUGCUAAAGGAUAAGGAGAAGUUCUUUUUUGGCUUACUUAUAGUAGGAGUAUUAUUAUUAUAACAAUGAAAGUCCUGCAAAUGGGAAGGCAAUUUUCUCUGCCUAGUUGGUUUAGUUUCAGAAGGAACAAAAACCAGGGAUGAUGUCUCAUCAUGAUUGUCAGGAGCAUCAGAAGAUGAUUGCACUAAAGGCAAAUGUUCACCAGUGAUUUGUGCAGGAAGAGAAAAAUGAGGAAAGAAUGUAUUUACAUCAUCUGAGAUAUUAGAUGAUGCAAAAGGAAAGAUAUCCUCAUAGAAAAUGACAUCUCCAGAAAUAGAAUCUGAGGGAUAACCUAGAAAAAUACAAGCCUUAGCUGUAGGGUCAAACUUAAUUCUAGAUUUAGGAGAAGUAGAACAAUAACAUAAGCAACCGAAGGCUUUUAAACUAUGAUAAUCUGGGACUGUAGAGGUUAGUUUUUCAUAUGGAGAUUUAUUAUCUAUUACAGGAGAAGGUAACCUAUUAAUAAGAAAAGUUGAUGUUUAGACACAAUCACCCCAAUACUCUAAAGGAACCCAGACUGAAACAUAAGAGUCCUAGCUACAUUCAACAAGUGCUGAUGCUUUCUCUAUACAACUGAGUUUUGUUUAGGAGUUUCGGGACAAGAAUGAAAAGCCUUGAUUCCAUUUUUCAUAUAAAAAUCAGUAAAUUUCAAUUCAUGUGCAUAAUCAAAUCUCACAGAACAAAUUUUAGUGUUAUAUUGAGUUUCAACCAUUUUAAUAAAACCAGGAAACACUAGCAAAACAUCAGAUUUUUUAUUAAGCAUGUAUAACCAGGUUGCUCUACUAAAAACAUCAACAAUUGUUAAGAAAUAUCGAUAACCAUCAACAGUUGGAACAAAAAAUGGACCCCAUGUAUCUAUAUGAACCAAAUCAAAAGAUUUAGUACGCAUAUGAUUUGAUGAUUUAAAAGGCAAAUGUUUCUGUUUAGAUAAAUGACAAACAUGACAAUGAUUUUUAUUUUUAUUGAUAGUGGAUUUGGAUAAUAACAAUACAUCUUAAAGAGACUUUAUUUUAGCUAUAGCUGGAUGUCCUAACAUUUUAUGCCAUAUAUCUGAGUUUAGUUGUAAGACAUAACAGAUAGACUUACCAGAAAGAGAAGAAUGAGACACAUGAACAAGUGACUUAUCCAAAUUCAUGACAUAUAGAUUUGCAACUUGAUUACCGUUUCUAAUCAUUAGAUCCUGAGUAAGUGCAUGUAUCAUACAUUCAUUAGAAGUAAAAUUAACUUUAGAGUUCAAAGAUUUAGUGAUAACACUAACACUCAACAAGUUAAAUUUAAACUCAGGAAUAUGUAACACAUUAUGUAAAGACAAAGCAUCAGUAAGUUGAAUGUAACCAGUUCCCUCUAUCUUAAUUGUAUGCCCAUUAGGUAAUCUAACAAAAGUAUUAAAUAAGACUUUAUAAUCUCUAUAAAAACCCCUUUCAUGAUUAACAUGAUGACUAGCCCCUGAAUCUAUAACCCAAGCUCUAAUAGACAACUCAAUCUCAUGAUGUAUAGAGGAAGUUAACAUGUUAUAGAAAGUGAAGUCAUAUAAAAAGAGGUAAGUACCAGAUAUCUGUGAGAUAGAAGGUACAGAGGUUGAAGUCGGAGCUAUAGCCUUCUCAGGGCAAGAGGUGAUACUCGGGGACUGAAGCUUGGUGCUAAGAUAAGAGAUCAUCUGUUGAAGUUGGUCUUUAGUUAUAUCAUCAUUCACUAUAGCCACAGACUGAUCAGGCUGCUCUUCAAGCUACCAGUACUUGCCAAGUUAGUGCAACCAACAUAAUUGUUCUUCUUCGCUUUUGGAUGGCCAGAAGGAUAUCCAUGUAUCUAAUAACACUUAUCCACUAUGUGACUAAUGCGAGAACAAUGAGAACAUUUUGGUUUCUGAAAUUUGCCUUGUGCCAUCAAGAUUGAAUUCUGAUCCGGAAUCACAGCUUGAGAUUGAAAAGCUGAGGGAGUAUAGAUAGGUCUUAAAGACAUUCCCACAAGCCUCUGACUCUCAUCUUGAUCUAGCAUGUUAUAGAUCUCACUCAAUCCAGGCCUAGGUUUCAUGUUAAGUAUUGUUGCUCCUGAUUUUGUUGAAGUCAUCACUUAAACCCAUAAGGAACUGUAUGAUGCGACUUGUAUCUGCCUCUUCAAGUAACUCUUUCACAUGAUCACAGUCACACCUCUUCACACUACAAAUCUUUGUGUUAGACAACUGCUCCCACAAUGUCUUCUUCUUUGUGUAGUAAGUGGACAAAUCAAGUUGACCUUGUUUCAGAGCCGUCACAGCUUGUUCAAGUUGAUACCUCCUUGGAAAAUUGUUCACUUUGAAUCUAGCAAACAGAUCAUUCCACAUCUCAACAACAUCCUCAUAGUACAAGAUAUAUCAUAAAUCUCUUUGCUCACAACAAUAAGAAUCCAUGAUUUCACCAUGCUAUUACACCUACUCCAGAUCUUGAAAACAUAAUCACUUUCUGAUGGUGUAAGAAGUGAUCCGUCAAUGAAACUAAGCUUGUUCUUAGCAUCUAGACUAAUCAUCAUCGCUAUAGACCCGCUAUUGUAAUUAGUUCCAUCUAAGACAUGAGCAACAAUCGAUAAACAUGGGUGAUCGUAGGAUUGGAGAUUGAAUGGAUUAUUGUCGAACUCGUUAGAUUGUCGCGACAUUGAUCCAUAUCCAACCGAUCUCUAAGAACAUUGUUGUUUCACCAUAUCUACUUUUGGAUCUUCAAGAAUUGCAGAGCCGCGAGAUAACUUAGCUACGGAUGCUUCAAUUUAUGGUGUUUCGCUUCUACCUCUCAGUUUUCCUCUUUUCUUCACCAUUUUUGCCGAGAUCGAGGUUAACGAAGAACAAUCGAAGCUUCCAGAGACGAUUAAUCGGUGUGAAUUUGAAGAAUCUGAAGAAUUGAAGAUGAAAUCACAGAGAAAUGCGGAAGAACAGCUCUGAUACCAUGAUAGAGUUCAUGAGCAAAGACGAUUUGUGAAAUGUUUUCUUAUUUCGUCAAUCGUAACAAACUAUACAGUGAGUGCAUAUAUACAACAAAUGACCUAAACCGGGAAUAAGUAAACCGGAAUCUAAAUAAAAUUAACUUAACCAAAUACAUCAAACCAGCUACUCUAAUAUAUAUUUUUUUUGUCAACAAUAACUAUAGAAUUGGCUUAUAAAAACGAAUUAGGGGGACAAUCGUUCACAUACAGAACAGAGAGCGGCGUCGUACGGACAUUCCGUGCCAAGCUAUCCGUUUUGGUAUUAGCACUCCGAGAAAUAAGAGACAAAGAAAAGGUAGAAAAUUCCUCCUUGUCAACAGCUAUGUCAUCCAGAUAUGCAGAAAACGAUGGCGACUCAAGCGGGGAAGACACCAUCUUCACCAAAUCCGAGCAGUCUAUGAGGAAAGCCACAUCUCUGAAAUUGUGACCUAUCAUACAUCGCAUCGCCCACACCAAAGCUUCGACUUCUGAAUGCAAAGGUGAGAGACUCCGUCUACAAUUCUUGGCUCCCAUUGUAGUUGAUCCAUCCUCAGCGUUCCGGCAGAACCAUCCUAAGCCUGAAAAUUUAUCUGUGUCCUUCCAAGAACCAUCAACAAAACACCUAUAUCCUGUAAAGUAUCAAGGUAGCCGACAUCCCCGGGGUUGUAGCCGAGGGAUAUCUAAUGAAGGUUGCCGUUGAGUCUCCACUUCAUCGAGUUGGGCCUCUUGCCAAGACUUUGCCUCGUCUUUUGCAAUCCGAACCACAUCCAUCGGACUCUCAGUUCCAUUACUGAACACCUUUUCAUUUCUCGCCUUCCAUAUAUACCAUAAUAACCAGGGAUAGAAACUAUUCGACCCAUCCUCAAAGGGCAAACCGAAUAAAUAAUCCAUAUUAGUGUAUACCGAUGCUGUGGGAAAACUAUGCGGACCCACUGGAAUAUUCGCCAAUGCUACUCUAAUAAUAUUAUAGUUUUAGCAAGUAAAUAUAGAAUUAUUUUGUAGUGAAGAUUCUAUUAGCUCUUUAAAAGCGUUUGUAGAGUUAGUUUUGUUAUUUUCUGAGUGGACCAUGUUCCAGAACUAAUAAAUUAUGUAUCUUUUACCAAAAUCUAAAUUUUUGGUCUACCAUAUAUUAAAAUUAGUUCACUCUAAUAAUAAAAUAAAAGCUUACAACUAGGAGAAAAUGAUGUAUAUGUCUGAUGGGAAACGUGAAGCUGAAGGAACUUCUAGAAUUGUAUUCCUAUUUUCUAUCAGUGAAGGUGCUAGUGCAACGACAAAGAAGAGGAAAAUAGUGAGGAAGUUCCCUCUUGAAUUGUAUUCUUAUUUGCACUAUAUAUGUAUGUAUGUAUGUAUGUAUGUAUAUGUUUGUCAAUAUAUGUGACUCCGUAACAUUAUGAUACAAAAAUAUAUAUAUCAAAGAAUCUACGCAAAAAAAUAGUAGGUUGUCAUGCCAUCGUCUGACAUGUUCGAACUGUAAAGGCAUAACAAAGUGACAUACGAAAAUAAUAAAUGGGCCUUAAAAACCAGAAAAUAAUAAAUGGGCCUCUAACACUAUUUCAAAAAACGACACAAAGCUAUGGAUUGGGAUCUUAUAAAACAAUAAACAAACAUAAACAAACAUUAAGCUCUCACCGUCACGUUACAUCUAUCCCCACCGCUGAGACCGCCGCGAAAGGCCGUCUCCUCCGCUACCUCCAUAACCAAAUCUACCCUCAUCGAGGAGUAAGAUCCAAGCGUAAGAUCAACUGAACAGGAAGAAGAAGAAGAAGCAGAAGACAAUGGAUUAUCUCGGAAUCGACAUGAGCUGCGCGAUCGGAUCUCUCCGAAACGGUGAGUUCCCGGAGAAAGAUUGUCUUCUUCCUCUAAUUUCAAAGCUUCUCGGUUACUGCCUCGUCGCUGCUUCAAUCACCGUCAAGCUCCCUCAGGUGAGUAUAAUCCCAAACUCAAACCCUAACUCCAAAAUUGUGUUUGUUGCUUAUUGGUUUUUUGAUUUGUCAGAUUAUGAAAAUUGUGCAACAUAAAAGUGUACGAGGCUUAAGUAUUAUGGCAUUUGAGCUUGAAGUUGUUGGAUAUACAAUUUCACUUGCUUAUUGUUUGCAUAAAGGCCUUCCCUUUUCGGCUUUCGGCGAAAUGGCUUUUCUUUUGAUCCAAGGUUUAUAUGAUCAUACUUGAAUUGGAAAAUUGGUGUUAUUUGUUAUGGUUUCUGAUAUCAUCUUUGUUAUCUUUGCAGCUUUGAUCUUGGUUGCUUGUAUUUAUUAUUAUUCUCAACCAGUUCCUGUAACAACUUGGCUCAGGCCACUACUGUAUCCUCUCAGUUUUACCUAUGUUUGAUUUGAGACUCGGUUGUAUUAGGUUUUUCUUAAUUCUAAGCCGAUACAGAUAUUGUGCUGUCGCACCAACCGUGCUUGCUGGACAGAUUAAUCCUACGCUCUUUGAAGCUCUUUAUGUGAGGACAACAAACUCCUUAUUUUAUUCACUUAAGGGUUUGAGUUUGUGUGUGUGAGUGUGUGUGUGUGUGGAUACAUUUUGAGAGUAUGUUUUGUGUUGUAGGCUUCACAGCAUGCAAUAUUUCUCUUUGCAAGACUCCCUCAGAUAUGGAAGAACUUCAAUGUGAGUUUAUUUAUAAAUGCUCAGUUUUUCCUUAUCUUUUCCACUCUUCUUGUUUGACUAAGUAUGAACGGUGUUUUAAGAUUUAUAGCUUGUUGAUAAAUAUACGCCUUUAUGUUCCAUUGAUCGGUUUAUCAGUAACUGUCAUAGUAUAGUUUACCUUACAUCCUUUCCGGGAAGGGCAAAGAUUUUUUGUUUGUCUGAAUUGGGAAGGGCAAAGAUGCAUUUUUACACAUUAUGUUUCAAACGUUUGAUACAUGUAUUCUCCCAUAAAUAUUUCUAUAGAUUCUAUAGAAGUAUACUUUCAGAACUAUAUAUUUGCAUAAAUUUUGUAUGAAGUCUUCUGGCUACUGCGUAUGAUCCACAUUACUCUCUCUAUACAGAACAAAAGCACCGGAGAACUUAGUUUCUUAACUUUCUUCAUGAACUUUGCCGGGUCCAUAGGUAAAAACAGCUCCCUUAUUGCAUCUUCUAUUUCCAUUCGAUACGUAAUGUUUUCUUGUCUCGUAAUACUUCUUUGUUUUGUUUGCAGUGAGAGUUUUCACCAGCCUCCAGGAAAAGGCCCCCCUUAGCAGUAUCCUUCUCAGCUAAUAUUUGCUUUUUAUUAUGCUUGCUAUAAUCAUACAAACACAAUGCUUUUUAUAUGCUUAAAUCUGUCAUUUUCCUCAACCCUUCCAUAGUUCUUACGGGUUUUGCUCUUGGAGUCAUCACCAAUGGAAGUAUCCUGACUCAGAUUCUCUUGUAUUCAAAGCCUGCUGCAGCAAAGGAGAAGAAAGCCAAUUGAUAGGGUAGAAAGAUGUCCUUAAUCAAAUACUGUUGUUGAGACCCCCAAAAGAGACUAGUCAAUAUUGCAAUUACGGUCUUUUUUUCUUUUAAUACCUGUAUGCAAGGAUGUUCAAACUUAACCCAGCUACUGCAUUAUGUUAUAGGUUGACUGAUAGAUUCUUUCUUUUGUGUUGUGCUAAUAGCCAAAAUCUGAAACUACACAAGUUACAUUGAUGUCAUUGACCAAGAUCUAUAUCCGAUGUAAGUUUGUGUUUAGUCUAAGGCCAUACUAAAUAUGUUCUUGUGCGUUUAAACCAUCUGCAUCAUUUAGAUAUGUAUCAGAUUAACUGUGGCGACAUGAUGUGAAACACUUGCUUUUACAAACAGCUUGAGCAUUCUAAACAAUUGCUGAAUCAAUGUGACAACAACAUACAGGUGCUACACAAAUAAAAAACAUCUUUCAGAAUAAACUAAAAAGAAAGGUCAUACUCAGUUUCAAACAUGUAGAAGUUAAUUGUUUCCACAUCCUUUGAAUAAUCUUUAAUCCUGCUGGGAGCUACUACGAUUUCCCAACCUUGUCAGUGCAAAAGCAACGUUUCUCCAGCUCGAAAAUCCAAGUCUUGACCACCUGAUGCUACCAGAUGCAAUGCCCAGGGUUGGUAUUUGCAGUCUGGAUGGAGGUGAGUCAACUGCAACCUCUUGUGCUCCACCUUCACUGGCACUAGCCUCGGCAAUUGGUGUCUUGGGAGUAUCCAGAUUGACAAUAAGCAACGCUCUUCUUUUCCUUAAACGAUGAGCUCCUUCAUUGGUCACUCCUCUACACUUCUUAAUUUUCACCUUUACCAGAUUUGGGCAUCCGGCCCCUAACGCUUGGAUCCCAUCAUCAGUAAUGGGACAGUUCUUAACGCAAAGCUUCUUCAAUGCCAAACAUUUUUCAGCGAUACAACAUAGCUCGGUAUCACCUACAGUCUCACUUCCACACAAUGCCAAUCGCUCCAAGUUAAGACAAUUCGAGGCAAGUGCUUCCAAACUUAAGUUUGUAGGGUUCACACCAAUCAAAACCAACUCCUGCAAAUUCCAGCAAGAUUUAGCAACUACUAUAAGCCCGUCAUCACCGAUACGAUUUGUCUUCCAUCCAUCAAUGUGAAGCUUUCUUAAAAGUUUACACCCUUCAGCCACCAAAGCAAGGCCAAUAUUCGUACAAUCAGGAGUUUUAACAAGAUGCAAAAUCUCAACACCCGAACAUUUCGAUAACGCAAUUAGACCCAAAUCACUCAUCUGAAUCUUCUCUAAAUGUAUCUCAACAAUGGCAUUAACCUGAUUACCAACCGCCUGAAAAACCCGAUCCCAGUCCCCGGAACACCUAGAUAUCUUCAAAGUCCUAAGACCUUUCGCUCCGCUUAACAACGGAGCAAAACACUGACCAUUAUGCAACUCCUUUAAACAAACCAUCUUCAACGAACCCGUAGCUGCUCCGGGGCCUAUAAGCUCACUACCCGCAACAAUUCCACGCAAACGUUUCACCGACAAUUCCUCUAAACCUAAACAAUUAUCCAACAAACCAUUCAUCCCUUUAACCCCAAACCCACAAGAUCCAAAUGACACUUUCUUCAAACCCUUACAAUUCUUAGAGAAAUCAACAAUCCCUAAAUCCGAAAUCUCACGGCAACCACGGAGCUUUAACCGGGUCAGAUUCCGACACUUAACCGAAAUCAUAACGAAUCCUUCAUCGCAUAUACCAAGAGAUCUACGAUCACUUCUAAGAACCAACUUAGUAACCGAAUCAAACCGAGAAAAAAGUGAAGGAAUCACUGAGAUAAGAUCUGAUUGAGCUUUCAGAGAGAGACGAUGACGACACUGUCCUUCAAUCUCUAACCACCGACGGCAGACUAGUGAGCAACGUUUCCGGUCGGCGCAAGUUAGCGAUUGGAAAAUCAACGGUAAACACUCGUCUGGUAAGAUAGAAGUGUAAUCGUACGGUUCAUCUUCUUCGGCUUCAUUGGGUAGUAACGGAGAAGUGAAGUUACUUUUAGAUCGCCGGAAUGUGGAAGUUGAUUGGCCCAUUCGACGGUGAUGUGGUUCACAGUGUUCCCGCCUACCUCCGGUUUUGGAUAAAUGUCGCAAACAAUUUUGUUUUUUUUUUUCAAGGUUCCAUAAUUUUGUUUUUUUCUUAAGGAUUUGGAGCAGUAGAAUAAGUAGGUCGUCGGUUAUAAACCGAAUCGAACCAAAGAUGUGACGGUUUAGGUACUGUACCGGGUAAUAGGAAUGGAUCAAUCAGUAGUUUACUGAAAUGAUAAAAAUGCAUUAUCGAAAUUUAUAAUUGAUAAAUGUAAAGAUGAUAAAAAAAGAAUAAAAAAAAUUACGAGAUGUCAUUCCGUAUCAUAUUUAAUGACGUCUCGUAAGGGUUUGAAAUAUAUGAAUAGUAAUAUCUGUUGUGAUACAGAAAUUACUUUUACUGUCAUUGCAAAGAAAAAAACCUUUGCCUUUUUUUUUUGUCAUCUGAAUAUAUUUAUAAAAGCAAAGAUACAUUUUGAGGUUACAAAAGUCGGUGGAAAAACUACAAAUUCCCGGAAACCAAACCCCACAAAGGGGAGCAAAUGUCCAAAAGAGGAAAGCAUAAGCCGGCGAACGACAGAAAUGUUCCCAGAGUCACACAGCCGGAGGAAAACGAAAUAUUCCCAGAAAUUAAGCCCAAUGGAAAAGAGACAUGAAAAUACAAGGCAAAUAUUUCAAGCAGAUAGGCAAAGGACGAAACCAUAAACUAUGACAGGAGCACUAGGCUAAAACCUUAAGCGGAAAGAAAGACUAAAGAACACAAGGAAACACUUCUUCUGAAGCACCUGCGGAUGAGAUUUAUUUAGGAUGCCCUCGGCCAAUCCUAAAAUAACAUCUACCUCCUCCUAUCACGACGAGAGCUGCUCUCUCGAAACCAAGAACCAGACUUCAGAACCCG
rnacentral:lncRNA from 1 species